rnacentral:lncRNA from 1 species
GACAGAUGUAUCAGCAUUCAGUUUUCAGUUUUGAGUAUUCUAGACGUUUUGAAUCUUAUGGCCAGUUUUUGCCAGUUUUCCGCAUUUACUACAGAUAUUAUGCAGUGCUAAGGUAUAGAUAUCAGUAGAGGGUUAGCUUGUGGCCCUUCAGGAUCAUGAGCACCAUGUGACGUUCCGGUUCUAGAAAAUCGGGUCGUUACAGGAAGGCUUUGUUUGAGGUGGUGAGAGUGCCUAGUUCUGAGAAGAUUGUUGUAGCAGGAGACUUCAAUGGGCACAUUGGGGCGUUUCCAAAAGGCUUAGGCGAUAUGCAUGGUGGUUUUGGUUUUGGGGAGAGGAAUGAAGAGAGAGCUGCUCCGUUGGAUUUUGCGAGGUCAUUUGGGUUGGUUGUGGUGAAUUCGAGCUUCCCGAAGAAGGACGAUCACCUGAUCACCUUCUGAAGCGCGAUAGCCAAGACCCAAAUUGACUUUUUGCUGCUUAAGAAAGGAGAUAGGGUGUUGUGUAAGGACUGUAAAGUCAUUCCGAGUGAGAAUCUUUCGACUCAACAUAGGCGUUUGGUAAUGGACUUGCGUAUUAAGAAAGAUAAAGAAGAGAAGGCGUGAGGAGGGUAGACCUAGAAUUAAGUGGGGCAGCUUAGCGCCGGCGACUGCACGGGAGAUAGAGGAGAAUGUGGAGGGAAUAGGGGUGUGGAAGUGUAAGGGAGGCGUGGAUGAUAUGUGGGAUAGGGUGGCUAGGUGCAUUAAGGAGACUGCUAGUGAGGUGUUGGGUAUUUUGAUGUAGUGUGCGCUAUCUCAAAGUACCUUUAGCCUUCCUCUGCACUUCAGGUUAAAUGUCUCCCUAUUUUUUCGGUAUUGUAUAAUGGAGAAUAUAUCUGGUAUUUCUAGAGCCUUGGAGUUGAUUGUGAUUCUCUUUCUAGGGAUUGGGCUGGUCACUAUCAGGGGGAUUGUUGGUGGAAUGAAGAAGUUAAGAAGAAAGUGGAGACGAAGAAGGGGGCGUAUGCAAAGUUGAUUGAGAGUAAGGAUAAAGAGGGGAAGCGGUUUAAUAGGGAGGAGUACAAGAUAUCUAGGAAGAAGGAUAAUAUGGAAACCCAAGAUACCCUACAAAGUCAAUUGUUUUAUUUGGCUUUUGGCCAAAGAGGUAGUCCUAACACACAAAAAAUUGGGCAAAAAGGGUCAUCAAUUAGCCUCUAGGUGUUUUCUUUGUAGGGAACAAGCGGAAACAAUCAACCAUUUUUUUGCAUUGUAAAUAGACAGACCAGAUGUGGAGGACGUUCAUUAGCAUGAAAGGGAUCAGGUGGGCAAAUCUUGGAAGCAUAGCAGAUGUAAUAAGAUGCUGGAAUAUAGAUGGCAAUGUGAAUAGGAAGGAAAAGAGAUGGAAGAUUGUCCCAACUUGCAUUUGGACAAUUUGGACCGAAAGAAACAAGAAGAGCUUUGAGGGGAUGCAAAGCAGUUUACAAUCUUUCAAUAUGAAUUGUUUAGGUUUUUUUAAUUUUUGGUGUGAGCAAAAACUAUUAGCUCAAACAAAAGAUAUUUUUGAUGCUUUAGACUUUUUGUGAGCACAGAUGUAAAUGACAAGAUGUAAGUUGUCAUACUUUUGAAGGGGGACCUACACCUUUGGUGGUAGUAUACCUGUGGAUAUAUAGAAGUAAUGUUACCAGAAUCAAGAAAAAAAAAAUUAACAUUCUAAACAAACAACCCCUUCAACUAUUCCAUGAAAAGAUAUAAUAUAAUAAGGCAGCAUAAAAAUUAUAGAAACUAAAACCAAUGUACUAGGAUAUGCUUCGGUGGUUUAGAGUUUCUUGGGUUAUGCCAAGAUCUGUGAAAGAUUUAAUGUUUUGUUGAAGAAGCGGGAAUAGAAGGAAGAGGCAUAUGGCAUGGAGUUUGGUCCCUCUUGCGUUGAUGUGGGUUAAUUGGAAUGAAAGGAAUAGGGGAGCUUUUGAGGGGGUAAAGUCAAGUUUUUCUCAAGUGAGGAAUAGCCUUCAUUCUCUUAUUUUCUUCUGGUACACUCAUAAAACCCCUAGUUGUAUAGAAGAAUGGGUGGACUUUGUAAAGAAUCAGAUUUUGUAGAUUCUUUACCUUAUGGUUUUGUUUUUUGCAAAUGGCCAUCUCGGCCUUGUUUAUGAAUGGAAUACACUUACCUUAUCAAAAAAAAAUAUAUAUUUGUGUCCCGCGCUAAUAUUGAUUGUGAGACUCCAAAUUGUUUCAAUAAUGCACACGUUUCCAAUGUAUAUGUGAAAGAGUCCUACAUCGAUCUUUUAAGGGAUGGGUCGUCUCUUUAAUAUGGCUUGGACAAUCCUCACUCUUGAACUAGCUUUUGAGUUUGAGUUAGGCCUAAGAUUUAUUUCUUUACAUGGUAUCAUACCAAGACCCAUUCUGAUUAUCAUUUUCCAUGUUGGGACCUCAUAUUAAAUUUCUCAUGCACAAGACAACACGCCCUUAGCAUGAUGCGGUGUGAAGAGUCUCCCAUCGGCCCUUUUUAAGGGAUAGGUGAUCUCUUUAAUAUGGCCUGCGCAAUCCUCACCUCAUGCGCUAUUUUUUGGGGUUGAGUUAGGUCAAAGAUAUAUUUCUUUACCGUAUAUUAAUAGAAAUCCUCUCACUAUGUCAAAUGAUGACCUGGAUACUAAGCUCAGUUAUCUAAAUAGGUUUCAGAUGCAUCGAUCUCUCACUUCCCUCCUAUCUCAUUAAACCAUAAAUGCUUGUUAAUUACCUUUAGUGUUAUUAAGAGAAAUUACUAUCACUUAGCAAACAACUUUAAAGAAGUGUGUGUUUUGGAUGUAGAUCCUCUUCAUUUUCCCCAAAUUUUUGCUUGGAUGGAAGAUGUGUGUCAUAGUUUAUAAUCAAUGCAUGAGAUUUAAUUAAAUAAAAUAAAAUCCAAAUCAUGAUUAAAAUACUUAAUUACUUUCAUAAUGUUACUUUCUCAAAAAAAAAGUACUUAAUUUCUUUCUUAUAUUUGCUCCCAAUAUAUUUUUCCAAUCCCAUAAUUCUAGUUGUAUAUUUUGUCAUUCCUAAAUAUAUUUUGAAAAUCAUCUUUUUGCUUUGAGUAAUUUUUUGUCGAGCAUCAUUAUUUUUAAAAAUACUAUUUUGUAAAGUUCUUUAUUUGUAUUAUCAUAAGUUGAAGUUUAUCUUUAUAUUUUCUAUUAUUGAAUGUGAAUAGGAGCAAAUAUAAUGCACAGCAAAAAAUUUGAAAGAUUAUCAUGGCCAUAAUCAUAUUAGAAAAGGUCCCAAAAAAUAAUAAUAAUAAUGCACAGCCAAAAUUUACUCAAAGCUGAGAAAGAAAAGUUUGAAAGAGUAAUAUACAAUUAAAAUUAUGGGAUUGUAAAAAUAUUUUGGGAUCAAAUGCAUGAAAUGGAGGGCUCGCUUCAGGAGGCUUGUAUGAUAAGAAGGUGCCAGAAAGGUAAGUUCUACAGAGUGGCAAUCCGACCGGCUAUGUUGUAUAGAGCGGAGUGUUAGCCAGUUAAGAACUACCAUAUUCAAAAGUUAAAGGUGGCGGAAAUGAGGAUGUUUUGAUGGAUGUGUGGACUUACCAUGAGGGAUAGGGUUAGAAAUGAGAUUGUUCGAGAGAAGGUGGAAUGGCUUCGGUGGAGGACAAGAUGUGGGAAGUAAGGUUCUGAUGGUUCAGGAUGUGAUAAGGAGGGGCACGGAUGCUUCAGUGAGGAGGUGUGAGAGAGGUGUGAAAGAGGUGUGAGAGGAAGGCUUUGGAUGAUUUUAGGCGGGGUAGAAGCCGAAUAAAUAUUGCAGAGAGGUGAUAAGGCAUGACAUGGAACAGUUACAGCUUACGAACGACAUGACCCUUGAUAGAAAGGUGUGGAGGACAUGGAUUAGGGUAGAGGGUUAGUAGGUAGGAGUACGUCCAUAAUAGUAGGAAAAAGUGCUUUGUUUGUAUCUGUGCAUGUAGUUUCUUGUAAUCUCUUAUUUGUGGUAUGUUUGUGAUGUCUAUGAUUUUGAAUAGCUAGUUUAUCGUAUUACAUUGUGGGCGUCGUAUUUCCUUUAUUAUCUAGCGGUGUGCUAUCCCUUUUUGUUAUUUGCUUUUAUGUUUUGUUAUACUGUUCUCUGUGUUAAGUCGGGGAUCAGUCGGAAACAGCCUCUCUGCUUUAUAUGAGAUAGUGGUAUGGACUGCGUACACUUUAUCACCUCUCCCCCAACCCUACUUUGUGGGAAUACACUGGGUAUGUUGUUAUUGUAGUAAUCACGGUUAAGUCUUUGAUUUAUUUAAUUAAUCUCACCCAUUGAUUAUAAACUAUAACAUGUGUCCUCCAUAUAAGAAAGAACUAGGGAAAAUGGAGAGGAGCAAAAUUUGUGUGGUUCAACCAAUAAUUGUAAAGUGAGGUUGCGAUAAGCCAUUGUUUCUUAAAAAGGUACUAAAAGAUGUGAUAAUAAAAGGGAAAUUAACCUGUUAUUUGAUUACUAGAAUUUCAUUUGGAUAUGCUUUAGUGUUCUCUAUAUUAUCUUCUAUGUUGCUCAACCCGAUACAGGUGCGCAUCUAGAGGUUGGAUCCUUCAUGAUCUGAAAUUUUAAGAUUUGGGGGUACGAAUCCAAUUAUGGAUACAGGUGCGGGAUUUGCUAAAAAAAUUCAAAUAUCUAAACAUAGAGUAUGUAUAAAUUUUGAGACACUGUGGAGAAAACAUACAAGGUAAUCCAAGGAGAAAAUAUUGAUCAAGAGGAGAAUCCGAAAAGGAGAUAAAAGGAAAAGGAUUGACAUAGAAAUUUAUAUAUACAAGUUAUUCCAUUUUCUUCAAUUUUACUUUAGCUUUUGUUUUGACUCCGGAAAUCAUAGGUAUUUGCCCCAAAUUAGUCUGCCAAUUAUGGUCAAAUUACCCAAAACCGGUUGACUAAAUUCGGAAAGGAUCCACAUCCACACCGGCACACCCAUGUCUUGUUGACAUCGGUGCGGCACCGAAAGUGAAGAAUCCGAGCAACUUAGAUUUUCUUUAUUUGUUGCUUCUGUUUGCAAUGGUUCUUCGGCUAUUAUUUUUCUUGAUUUGCUUCUCUAUUGUCGUUUUUUGUUCUUCAGUGUGACUCUUUUCUUUCCUUCUUCCUCUUCCAUGUGCAAGUCUUCUACUUCCUGCCACUUCUAUUGUUCGACUUCUAUUCUACUUCUCACUUAUCUCUCUUGCAGGCAAUAAUUCUUUUCUCCUUUUUGGUUUUCUAUUUAGCUUUUAUUCUCCAGUUCGUGUUAUAAGCUGAAUGUAAGGAAAACCAAAAAGUCCCGCAAGUAAAUACUAAAGCAGUUAAUAUUAAAAAAAUGUUGCAAAUCAGUUUUUAAAAGGCAUGGACGUGAGUCAAGGACAUUUAUACCUAGCACUGGACAAGGCGUAAGCCCCAUGAAUUUUAAUUUACUAAUUAUAAAUAAGCAAAACAAGAUAAAUUACAGAAGCUGCGCCGAAUAAAUACAAAAUAGUAGAAAAUUCAAAAAAAAGAACCAGAGAAUAUAAGGAGUAAACACAAGUAUCUGUACUGAUAUAAGUGUAAUGCAAAAGUAUAGCAACUAAUUACAAAGCAAUGUCCGGGCAACCAACAGUUGAAACUUUAACACAGAUUACAUACAAAGCAGUAACAACAUCAUAGCUAUUCUAGAAAUUGGGAGUAUUAAUACAAAUACCUGUACUAAUAUAAGUGUAAUGCAAAAAUAUAGUAACUGAUUAUGUACAAAAAUACAUCCUACUUCUAGACGCAGAUAUGAUGAUUUAGAUGACGAGAUGGGUGGAGAACUUGGUCUUCAAUGUUGUAGCAGUAAUGAUUUUGCUUUGUAUAUUUCUCAAGAUAGGGAAAGCAUUAGAGAUGCAACUGGACAACAACUUUUAGCAUGGUGGAAUACCUGUACCAGACAAUUUCCAAAACUUUCAAGGGUGGUUCGAGAUGUGCUAUCAACUCAAGCUUCUACAGUUGCUUCGGGGCAAGCAUUUAGCGCAGGAAGAUUUAUGUUUGGAGAUCAUCGAUAUUCGUUAGCAAAGCAUAGUUUGGAGAUUUCGGUACUAUUUAGAGAUUGGAUCAAUGCCAAACGAAGAAAUUUGGGCUCCCAAAAUUACCGUCCCAAAUUGAAGAUAAAAUAGAUGAAAUAUUUGAGGAAAAUAGUGAUGACGGAAUGGAAGCAAUGGAGGAGCAAGGAAAAUGACCAAUUCCGAAAAAUUUAUCCGCCAAAGAAAUAGAUAAGUUAUGCCAAAAAUAUUGUGGAUGUUAUACAUAUUAAUAAGAUUCUAGAGUAGAGAUCUAAUUCAAACAGAACCCUUCCUAGAAGGUGGUUGCGUAAAUUUGAUUUUAUUUUAAUAUUUGUAAUAAAUGUACAACGUACGAAAUUUGAAUAAAUAUAAAGGCUAUUCACCUUAAUUUUAUUUUAAAAUUUGUGUUUUGUUUGAUGCAAUUAUCUUAGGUAAAAUUACAAAGUUUAUAUUUGUAACUUUGAAGUUAUGGGGAAAAAAAAGUUUAAUACUUUUAACUUUAUAAAGUUACGAAAAUUUUUAACUUUAUAACUUAAAAUUAUAUAAAUAUAAUUUAACUUAUUAAAAAUGUUAUAUUAACUUAAAGAUAUAUUUAAGUUUAAGAUAUAUUAAAAAAAUGUUAUAUUUAUUAACUUAAACUUAAAGAUAUAUUUUUAAGUUAAAGUUUUAAACUUUUUAAGAUAUAUUAAACUUAAACUUAAACUUAAACUUAUUAAAAAAAGUUAAUAAAAAAAUGUUAUAUUAAUAUAUUAUAUUAAUAAAAUAUAAGUUAUCUAAUAUAAGUUAAUUAUAUAAUAUAAUUUAAAUUUAACAAAAAACGUGAAGCACAGGUCGUCUUUUCGUUGUGCCGGUACCGGUUCCGGUUAAACCGAUCCGGUGGCACCGAUUCCGAGCCGUUGCCACCCUUAAUCGCCAUACACAUACAAGACCACAAACACUAGUGAUACAAAUAAAAUAAUCCAACACCAACAAAUAGCAAUUCAAAAACUGUAAAAGCAGAAAAAAAAAAAGAUAACAGAAAUCAAAUCACAUAAGAGUAAAUAAAGAUAUUGAAUUUGCAGCUCCAAAAAACUUUACCACUGAAGUAGCAAAUGGAUAAGUAGGAGUGAUAGUGAAGUUAAUGUCAGGCACGAGUGCCGAAAUAUGUCAUAAACCACUUCUGGAACCACCUUUUCCCUUCGGUGAUCCUUACGGUCGUCGGAAAUCAUCACUAUUUUAUUUCUUUCUCAAACCUUCUUCUAGAAAUGGAAGAUUGUAUUUGUUUUGCAGUUGGCUUUAAGUCUUUUGAUAUCAACCGAAUCAUGGGGACAGCAGGGGAAUGGUAUGAAUGGACAGAAAGGAGCAGAAAUGCUAUCACUAAAACUUCCUUCAGCAAGAGAUCGAUGAUCUGGAUCAUCCAAGUACUAAGGGAGGCAUCUAAGACGAAGGGGAAUGUGGUCAUAAGGUGGAAGAAAACAAAGAAUCUUUCUGAGAUCUUCUGUGCUAGAAAUUUUAACAAGCCUGGGAGAUAUAUUAGCUUGAUAAAUGUGAGGGGAAGAAGAAAGUCAGUCAAAAUCAUCCCAGAAAUGACUUUUAACUCCGGUUGGGGGUUCAUGGCAGAGAAGAUGGGUAGAUUUAUAUUUACCCAAAAGGUGGAGGAGAGAAUGGGGAGGAGAACAGAUUUAAACAGAGACUAGUAGACGAUAUUAUUCCUUACACAAAAGCCCACAGAAGUAGCAAAUGGAUAAAUAGAAGUGAUAGUAAAGUUAAUGUAGAACCAGCAUUGAUGGCGGAUGGUCCCAUUCACAUUGAUGACAACACCAGCACAAUAAGCGAGGUAUUGAAAAGGUGUUACUGGGUUUCUUUGAAGUGAGGGAUAAAAUCUACCCUACUUUGCCAGAAAUCCAGAGAUGGACAAGCAGGAUCUAGAAAAUCAAUCAUGAAUUAAACAUUUAUGAAAUGGGGGAAGGAAGAUUCCUCUCUUCGAAUUGCGAGCAAGAAUACAACAAAAAAUGUGAUAGCUAGAGAUUGGACUCGAAACGAGAUUUUUCUCCGACUAAAAUAGUGGAGUCCGACAUCAGGCAUAGUGGGAGAGGGAGAUAGGCCCACCACAACCUGGACUCAGAUUGUGGGUCUUCCUCUACACCUCUGGUCGGAUAUUGUUUUUAUUGGAUUGAAAUAGAGGAGGAGAAGAAGCUUCGAAACUAUCUUAAAUGGGCAAAAAUUCGUGUGCAAGAUGGUUCAAAAAUCCCUAAGGUGUCCAUCAAAAGUGCCAGAAUAACUGUUGUCUUACAGUUGUGGACUGAAACGCCGGCGAGGCUUCACAUCGAAGAAAACAAAGGACCCAAUCCUUUGGUCCAGCAGACAUCGGGAGAAGAUGGAGUGGCUUCGGUGGAGGACAAAAUGCGAGAAGUGAGGUUACGUUGGUUCGGGCACGUGAUGAGGAGGGGCUCUGAUACUCCAAUGCGGAGGUGUGAGACACUGGCUAUGGAUAGUUUUAGGCAGGGUAGAGGUAGGCCGAAGAAAUAUUGGAGGGAGGUGAUUAGGCAUGAUAUGGAGCAGUUGCAGCUUACGGAGGACAUGACCCUUGAUAGGAAAGUCUGGAGGAUGCGGAUUAGGGUAGAGAUUUAGGGGGUGGGAGUGCGCCGGUAACCGUAGGGGAACGUUCUUUUAUGUGUCUGAUGUUUCUUGUUCGUGGUGUUGAGUGUUGUCUAUGGCUUAGGAUAGAUAGUUUUUAGUAUUAUCUUGUGGCUAGCAGUGUUAGUUUAUUUUUGCAUACUGUGCGAGUUUAUAUGCAUAUAUGUUUUGUGUUUGUUAUACUGUUGUCGGUUUUAUGCCGAGGGUCUAUCAGAUACAGCCUCUCUACUUCACCUAAGGUAGUGGUGUGAUUUGCGUACACUUUACCCUCCCCAGACCCCACUAGGUAGGAAUACACUGGGUAUGUUGUUGUAUAAUAAAGGGAAACCUGCAAUUAACAGAAUUAAGUCAUAUGCUUCUGAUUUUGCCAGUACAAGUGAAUUUCAAAAUUUCUCAAAGACAGGCGGGUCGGGUUCUGUCUGAAAGCAAAACUGGCCUAAUCUCUUAUGAAAUAGAAGCCCAAUUUCAUUUAAAGAAAACUCCAGCGAAAAGGAAAAGUGGACACGUGAGGAGCAUGUGUCUUUUUAAAGACUUAAAUGAUCUAAAAUUAAAGGCUUCUAAUUCACCGAGGUCAUUCGGCGACUGGGAAAACAGAGUGCAACAACUUGACACCUCCAGCACGCCAAAGAAGGCUAUCAAAGAAGGCUAUCAGAAGGGGAGAUUCAAACAUGCAAACGAAGGCAGUAACCUAACUCCAGAGAUCGUAAAUAAAUUAUCCACAUAAGAGAGAGUUGAUGAUAUAGGAGUUCGUGAUUCACAAAAAACAAAAAGGGAUCAACAAAUUCAACCAAUAAUCGACGCAAAACUUGUGAAUAUUCAAUUACCCAGCAUACAAGAAGUAGCAAAAAUUGAAGCUUCAAACUGGGUAAACUCCCACAUCUUAUAGUGAGCAACACCUAUAGGGUAGGUUUUGAGAAAGAAACACUAGCUCUUCUCAUGAGAAUUGGUGAAAGGAAAGUUGCUUUAGAUAAAAAUUGUAAAGCGAAGACAACUAUAACCCCAAAAAGUAGAGGAAUUGGGAAGAAUGAGUUAAAAAAAUCUAAAAUCACGCCUGAAUAAAGAAGUAGAAAGGGUCAUGAACGAGGGAAAAAAUUUACCUUUGACUUAUAAAUGAAAAUCAAAUUAAUCACUUGGAAUGUGAAGGGGCUCAAUAGACGGAGCAGCAGAGUAAUGAUCAAAAGUUUAUUUCAGAAAUGGAAGGCUGACAUCUAUUGCUUGCAAGAAACAAAAAUUCAUACAGGAAUAGAAAACAUAGCCAAAGAGCUCCAGUCAUGCAGAUGGAUGAAAUGUGGGUAUAUGGAGGCAAAAGGUAGCAAAGGGGGAAUUUUGAUCAUGUGGGGUAGUAGGAACUAGAGGGGGACUCAGGUCGAGAUGGGCCAGCAUUUCAUAACUUAUGAAUUUGUCUCAACUCAAAACUCUUUCACCUGGCACUCAACAGGAGUGUAUGCUCCACACACCAGAGAAGAGAAAUUAGUUGCUGGGAAGAGAUAUUUGCAAUUAAAAAGUAUGUGGGGGGCCUUGGGUGGCAUGUAGUGAUUUCAACACAAUCAGAAAUAUGGGGAAAGAAAAGGUGCCAUAGAAUCACUAAUGUAAUUUUACAAGGUGGAUUGAAGAAAUGAAACUGCAUAAUCCUCACAUGAGUAGAGGAAAAUUCACAUGGUUCAGGGGAGUCAAUCAUUCUAGUGCAACCAGACUCGAUAGAUUUUUGUUCUCUAUGGAGUGGGAGGAAAGCUUUAGGAUAGUUUUAAGAACAUUAGAUAAAAGUUGAUGCCCAGAGUCUGAUCAUUGUACUGUCAUGGAGAUUGGGAACAGAAAAUAUCAAACUUUGGGAACAGAAAAUAUCAAACUUUAAGUUUGAAAAUUAGUCGUUAAAACUAGAGGGUUUCAAAGAACUGGUGCAGUCAUGGUGGAAUGAAUUCUCUGUGGAAGGUUGUCCAGACUACAAGUUGAACUACAAGCUAAAUGUUAAACUCAGAAUGCUCAAACAAAAUCUGAAACAUUGGAGCAGAACCACCUUUGGGGAAAUGACCAACAAAAAGAACAGUUUACUAGAGGAACUGGCAGAAAUUGAUGUAGAAACCUAUCGGGGAAGAAAUGAUGGUAUGAGCUACCAUUGUAGUUGAAUUGAAAGAUAUGGCUCAAAAUGAGGAGACAAAAUGGAGACAGAAAUACAAAGUGUUGUGGUUAAAGCAGGGGGACAACAACACAAAGUUCUUCCAAAGAAUGGCCACUGCUCAGAAGAUUCAACAUUAUUGACAAAUUAGUGGUUAGAGGAGAAGAUUGUAGAACCUGAUGAAAUUAAGAUAACUAUGGUUGAGUUUUAUAAAAGAAUUUACCUAGAGCCAGAAAGUUGGAGGCCAGGUAUUGACAUGAUAGAUUGCUCGACCAUACCACAGGAGGAACAAGAUUGGCUUCAAAGACCUUCUCUGAAGAAGAGGUGCUGAAUGUAAUCAAGCUAUGUGAUGGAGACAAAGCUCCGAGCCCAGAUGGAUUGACAAUGAGUUUAUUCAAGGUUUGUUGGGACACUGUGAAGGUGGAUCUACUGGAAGCUGUUUAUAAUUUCCAUCAGAAAGAGUUAAUUUGAGAAGUCUUUCAAUGCCACCUUCAUGCCUUAAUACCGAAGAAAGAUGGAGCUGAGGAGCUUAAGGAUUUCCGACCUAUCAGUCUGUAUGAAGUGUCCACAAGAUACUUUUCAAGCUUAUUACUGAAACAUUGAAGUUAUGGGGAAACUAGUAAAUGAACACCGAAUGGCUUUUCUAAAAGGCAGACAAAUCAAGGAUGCUACUCUCAUAGCCAAUGAAUUAGUGGAUUCCAGAGUGAAACAAAAAGCUUCAGGAAUCUUAUGCAAACUUGACCUAGAGAAGGCAUAUGACCAUGUCAACUGGAAGUUUCUAUUGAAGGUGAUGAAAGACACGGGUUUUGGUAGAAAAUGGGUCAACUGGACACGUUUUUGCAUCUAUUAUACACGACAAUAAUGAAGGCUUAUUUUUUUGUGGGUGGGUGGUUGGGGUGGGGGAGGGGAGGGUUGAGGCAGAGGAUUCUUUAUCAUCUUUUAUGUUUAUCUUAACGAUGGGGGGGCUCAACCACAUGAUUAGACGGCAAGGGAAAAUGGUUCGUUAAAGGGAUUCCAAGCUCAGUUGCAGGGACAUAGAGAUGAUGAAAGGGGAGUCACACAUCUGCUUUAGGCAGAUGACUCACUAAUAUUUUUUGAAGUUGAAGUAUCACAGAUGAGGCAUGUUACGGCUAUCCUCAAUAUUUUGAAGGCAUUUCUGGUCUUCAUGUUAAUUAGCAAAAGAGUUGUCUUUACACAGUGAACAAAGUUGAUAAUAUAGAGAUAUUAGUGAACUAAGAGUGUGAUGGACUGCUGGAAAGAGAUGGGAAGAAGAGAAUCAAAAGAGGACUGGUGAGAAUAGAUUCCUGCAAGCAUCUGGUGGACAUUAUGGAAGGAGAGAAAUGCAAGAUGCUUUGAAGAUAAACGCAACAAAAUUUGAAAGAUCAAAAUGAACUGUCUUAGUCUUAUAUAUUUUUGGUGUAAGCAGGAUAUAGAGGGGGAUAUAGAACUUUUUGUUGAUUUAAUAAGGAACUUGUAAAGCUCUAUAGAUUAGUUCCUGUGGCUUUCUGGUUUUUGCCCUAUGGGAUGUAAGUGCUCAUUUUCAUCAUUGUUUGGAUGAUGAAAUUUUGUGAAUAUACAGUUACCUUUUCCUAAAAAAAAAGAAAUGCUUUGCCACUGGGCAACAUCAAACUACUUUUAUCUAAGAUAUUGUGCAGACUGUAUCUAACCUGUAACUCUGGAUAGCACAUUUGCGUUGCACAUGUUAGGCCAUUAUCCAGUGCGGAAAUUGAACCAUGAUGAUCUCCCUCAAUUGUAAGAGCAUUUGCUAGCUGAGAAUUGAAGUUGCAGUACCAUAACCUCCCUGAAAACCUUCAAGAAACUAGUGCAGUUAUAAUCAUAAUAUAUCUAGCACGUGCAAAGUCAAAUUUAACACCGACUUAGAACUCAAUGGUGAACCUUAUUAGAGCUGACUAGACUUAUUAAACUAUUGGCGAUCAUAUCCAAUGACACUUGGCAUAAACAUAAUGGUGUACAAAUAAAAUGACCAAGAACUUUAAGUGUCCCUAAAAUUAAAGAGGAAAUCAGUAAUAUUGGCAAGUACAAAUGAUACUUAAAUGGCAAUUGGCAUAAUACAUAAAUAUGACCCUAAACUUGACACCAAAUUACAACAUUGACCUUAAACUUUGACAAUGCACAAGUAGGCCCUUUAACUAUACAAAACUUGAACAAAUAAACACUCCGAUUUUGCAACUUACACGCGUGUACCUCACUUCCGCCUACAUGGAUUAGUCAUCCACUCAGAUGUUGCCAUCUAAUAAAAAAGAUACAUUAUAACUAUGACCUUUAACUUUGUCAGUGCACAAGUAGGCCCUUUAACAAUACAAAAGCUGAACAAAAAAACCCUUCAAUUCUAACUCCGAUGCGCGUGGUCUUGAGUGUAUACGCACAUUUUGCCACAUAGGAUUGGAGUGUUUAUUUGUUCAGGUUUUGUAUAGUUAAAGGGCCUACUUGUGCAUUGUCAAAGUUCAAGGUCAAUGUUAUAAUUUGGUGUCAAGUUUAGGGUCAUAUUUAUGUAUUAUGCCUAAUUUGCUUAAGAUUUGAAAAGAUACUUAUGUUACUCAUGAGAUAUACAAGAACGUAGAUUGUUGUAACAUCCCGACCCUUCAUUUUGAGUAUUUGAAUUGUGUUCCUCGAUUUGAGACUUUCCAUAGGUUCAUAAGUGUUUUGGGACUUGUCGGGAUGGUUCGGAAUGGGACCCAAGGGCUCAGCUGAGUUUUGGACACAAAUCACAUUCAGCUGCUGCAGAUUUAAUUUUUUUUAUUACACGUGGCAAUUGCAGCUUGUGAGGCUCACAUUUGGACCAAAGGAGUCGCUCUUGCGACAGCUUAGGAUCCGGUGAAGGCCAGCUUUUGCGAUGAGCCUAUCGCAGAUGGGGAGCCACAAAAGCGGCAAGGUAUCACAAUUGUGUUCAAUGGAUCUCUGAUUUCUUGCAGUAUAAAAGGGCUGAAUUCGGGAUUUUUGACACUUGAGCUCUCCAUAUUUUACGAGCUAAGUUACGCGUUGAGGGAUUUAUGGGCAUGCAUUCAACAUAUAUCACCAACGUAAUCAUCUAUGUCUAAUUUAGUGAUUGCACAAGAUUAUAUGCUGGAUUUGAGUCUUCAAACAUGGGAUUUGAAGUGUAAAAUUAAAUUGUGGAUACAGGAGAUAAACUGUAAAUUACUAACUUUAGGAUUUGAGCGUGUAAAUAGACAUGAAACGAAAAUCUAAACAUAGAAUUGGAAUUCUUAGCUAAUGGGUUUUGACCAUGGCGCUUGGGUUUGACAUUGGUUGAUUUUGACCUAGACCAUGUAUUAAAUUAUGGGAUUGAGUUUCUUAGCUUCAUUUGACGUUGUUAAGUAUUCUUUUGGCUAAAGUUGAGCCCUUUGGAUGCGUCCAGGCAUGGAAAGGCGGCCUUGAGGAGUUAAGGCUCACUUGAUCCGAGGUAAGUUAAGACUUCAACCUCAAUAGCAGAAUUUUUUCCAAACUUUGUGUUGUAUGUUCUUUGUAGCGAGAGGGUAGCAUAUAUAUGGCGUGACGAGCAUAUAUGCGACUACCAGGUAAUUGAAAGGGGUUUACUUGGAAUCAUAGAGUUUAGCAUUACUUUCCGUACAAGUACAGGGGUUGAAAGUGGUUGGUGACCAUAUUCAUUGAAGCAUACAAAGAAUGUCAUUAAGAGAUGGAGUACAAAGGAUCAUUUUGCAGAAUUCUUCUGCACUUUUAAAUACAACGAGAAUGGCAGGUAUAUAAGAUUUAUUGCAAUACAAGGGCAAAACAAAUCUAUCGUUAUUACUCCAGAAAGCUUGAACAGAGGAGGUUGGGGGAAUAUUGCACACAAAAUAGCCAAGUUCAUCCAAGCACCAGAAAGACCUCAGGAGGCUGAGCCUUGUCCUACAGACCAGCUAACGACAUCCUUCAAGGAAGCUUGCAGAAGUAAUAGAUGGACCACAGAGACUCUGAGAACAGCACAAAUACAGAUCUAGGACAACAACAUCAAAAUAAAGGGAGGAACUUCUGGAUCAGAAAAAGAAUUGAAGAAUAGAUGCACUGUUGGUAGAUUCCAGAACUCAGUACAGGAGCCGGUCACACUGAAUGACAUCAGAAAGUGGGCAAACAACACAUGGAAGACAACUUGUGGAAUCAAUGUCUUUGUGAUCACUUUCUAUUCGAAUGCCGUCAAGGGAAGUGGCAGAACAUGCACUAUCAGGCGAGUGGAUCUGGAAGAAGAGGAAGAUACCAUUCAAGUGGUGGAAACCAUCGAGGGGUUGCUGGCCAGCAGAGAUCAAACGUGACUGGGUUUGGAUCAGACUUAAAGGGCUUCCUCUAAACUUAUGGUCCGAAAAAAAUUUCACAACAGUCGAAGACUACUGAGGCGACUUUAUUUAAACAGAGGAAGAAACUACCCUGAAAAACCACCUUCACUGGGUUCGCAUCAAGGUACGGGUGACGGAAAGAAAGUUCCAAGAUAGAUUGAGCUAUAAAAUGACAUUCAUAUCUACACUAUUUCGAUAUGGGUCAAAGCUCCAGUCACCAUCAGAACAGAAAUGGAAAGGAGAGAGGAAACAACUUUUGGUCCAGCGGAUAAUAGAGUUACCGAGCGCACUUUUACGAAAGAUUCAGUGGGUCCCGCGGGAGCACGUGGAUACAGCAAAAAGGGGAAACAAUUUGAAAUUUAAAACAUGUGGCCCACAAACAAAAGACAAAGGGCCUCUUUGGGCUGUGGCGGGUCAAAUUAAACAAUGAGAAUACAUGGGAUCUGAUUUAAUAAGCCCAAUCAGACACAAGAUCCUAUCAACAAGGAAGAAGCCCAAUAUGAGAACUUUAUGUCCAUGGAAAUCACCACUAACUUGUCAAAACGAUCAAUAAGUAACAGAGUUCGAGACCUGGAGAUCAGAAAUGGAGAUAAAGAAAGUAUCACAAGGACGACCGAGCAAAUGGAAGCAGAAACAAGAAUUGCGGGAUCUGAGCAAACAGGAAACGCGGAAAGUUUAGUUAUGCAAUUGAAAGAGCAGGGAGAAGAUACAAUAGUAUCAAUGAAGACGUUCCUUUUAAAAUCCAUUUGCCAACGGAGGAGGUCAAUCAAAACAAUAGCUCAUCUGAGUGGAUCCAACAACACAUCAUCAAAUUUAGCUCAGAAUUUGGGGUAAAUUUUAAGGGUUGUUAAGAGAAGGCUGAGGAAUAUUUUGUGGCAAUAGACAGGAACAAGAAACAGAACAGUGGAAUGCAAGCCAUAGUGAAGAAGAAGGGGUUGAAUGAACUGAAAGGUCUAUAACUGGAUACCAAGUUCUGGAGUAAUGGAUCUAGGAGCAGAGGGGGAUACUUAGCAUUAAAAGAUCAAUGCUAAAAAUAGUGUCUUGGAAUGUUAAGGGCCUGAAUUGCAGCAGGAAAAGGAAAUUAGUUAGAAAUAUGAUUCAGAAUUGGAAAGCUGAUGUGGUGUGCCUACAGGAAACCAAAUUAAAGGGGAAUAUUUUAGAAAUCAUAAAGGAAGUUUGGGGGAACAAAGGGGCAGAACAUGUACCAUUGGAAGCUAGUGGGACUAGAGAGGAAUAGUCAUAAUCUGGGACAAAAGGAAUUGGGAGGGGGAAGAAAGCAGUACAAGCAUGUAUUCUGUUUCUGCUAGAUUUAGGAGAAAGAACCAGGCAUGUAUUCUGUUUCUGCUAGAUUUAGGGAAAGAACCAAGAUUUCAACUGGCACUUGACUGGGGUUUAUUCAACAAAUGAUAGAAAGGAGAGGGAAGAAACAUGGGGAAGUGGGAGCUGCCAGAGGACUGUGUGAAGGGCAAUGGGUAUUAUGUGGUGACUUUAACACAGUCAGACAUCCUUCUGAGAAGAAAAAGUGCAAUAUGAUUAGCAAAGCCAUAACUGAUUUCUCGGAUUUCAUUGAAGAUAUGGAACUAAUGGAUCUUGAUAUUGCAGGGGGGAAAUUCACUCGGAAAAGAGGGGAUAGACAGGACAGUGCAGCACGGACUGAUAGAUUCCUCAUUUCAGAGGAGUGGGAUGCAAACUUCAGAAAUAUUAGAUAAUUAAUCUUACAUAGAGUCACUUCUGAUCAUUCUCCGAUAUUGCUACAAUGUGGGAACUGGGAGAAGACCAACUCAUAUAUCAAGUUUGAGAAUAGGUGGUUGAAGAUAGAAGGCUUCAAUGACGAAGUGACAGAAUGGUGGGAUUCUUUCGACAUUCAAGGGAGUCCUGAUUUUAUCCUUGUGGCCAAACUGAAAGCUUUGAAGAAUAAAUUGAAGGACUGGAGAAAAACUAGCCAGGGAAACCCUGGCAUUCAGAAACAAAAUGUUCUUGCUCAAUUGGCUGAAUUAGAAGAGAUACAGGAGCACAGGUGUCUCCUCCAGGAGAAAGAGAGAGCCUCGAGAUUAGCUGAUAGCCCCUAGAUUGGCUGACUAUGGAGUUCGAAGACAGCCUGCAAGAAAGAGAUUUCUUGGAGGCAAUGAUCUAGAGCCACAUGGUUGCAACAAGGGAUAGGAACACUAAGUUUUUCCACAGGAUUGCUAACGUCCAUAGAAGGAGCAACACAAUAGACAAGCUGAAAGUGGGAGAUACAGUGGUAGAAUAUCCAAAAGAAGUGAGGAAAGAGAUUGUGACCUACUAUGAGAAGCUGUACACAAAAACAUAAACAUGGAGACCAGACUAUGCUAUGAGAAAUUGUCCCAGGAUUGGGGAGGAAGACAAAAACAUCCUUGAUGCUCCUUUUGAAGCCCAAGAAAUUUUGGGAAGUAUUAGAGCCUGCAGGGGACAAAGCUCCUGGGCCUGAUGGAUUUUCUCUAGCAUUCUUCUCUCAGUUCUAGGAAAUUAUCAAGGGAGAUCUGGCUAUCCAACAGUUUCAUGAAGCAGAGUUCUUUGAAAAAAAGUAUCAAUGCAAGGUUUGUGGCAUUAAUACCUAAGAAGCAGGGAGCAAUGGAGCUAAAUGACUUUAGACCAAUCAGUCUAAUUGGUGGGGUUUAUAAAAUCAUUGCUAAAUUACUUGCGGAAAGACUAAAGAAAGUUGUUCAAACGCUUGUGGUUAGACCGCAGAUGGCAUUUAUAAGGGGGAGGCAAAUUAUAGAUACAAUCCUAAUUGCCAGUGAGUGUGUGGAUAGCAGAAAAAGAAUUCUCAAACCAAGCAUUCUAUGCAAACUGGACAUCCAGAAAGUAUACGAUCACACACUUGUGGGUAGACAGCAAAUGGCAUUUAGAAGGGGGAGGAAAAUUAUGGAUGCAAUCCUAAUUGUCAAUGAGUGUGUGGAUAGCAGAAAAAGAAUUCUCAAACCAGGUAUUUUAUUCAAACUGGACAUCCAGAAAGUAUACGAUCGCCUGAAUUGGAACUUUCUCAUUCAUAUGUUGCAAAGAAUGGGAUUUGGUACAAGGUGGAUUAGAUGGAUCAAACAUUGCAUAAGCACAGUGGGGGUUUUCAGUCUUAAUAAACAGAAGCCCAAAUAGCUUCUUCUCUUCCCAAAUGGGAUUAAGGCAGGGGAUCCUUUAUCCCUUUUCUGUUUAUUGUGAAGAUGGAAGGAACGAGCAACAUGGUGAAUACAACAAAGUCUAGGGGUUGGAUAAGAGGUUUUCAGGCAGGGGUGGGUGAGAACCUGGAGAUUACUCACCUACAAUAUGCAGAUGACACCCUAGUUCUUUGUGAGGCUGACGAGGAACAAAUUCUGAUGUUAAGGGUGAUUUUCAUCAUUUUUGAAGCAGUUUCUGGACUUCAUAUCAACUGGGGGAAAGCUUAAUUUACCCCAUUAAUAAAGUACCACAACUGGAAUCCUUGGCAGAGAAGCUAGGAGAGAGAAUAGGGGAGUUUCCUACCACUUAUCUGGGUAUGCCCUUAGGUGCCAAAAGAAAAUCAAAGGGAUUUGGAAUGGAGUAGCGGAAAAAUAUGAAAAGAAGCUAACAAGUUGGAAGAGUCAAUAUUUGUCUAGGGGUGAAAGAUUGACUCUUAUUAAUAAUGUUCUACAUGCACUACCAUCCUACAUGAUGUCCAUAUUCCCUAUGCCUGCUAGUGUGAUCAAGAGACAGGAUGCAGUGAGGAGAAACUUUUUGUGAAAGGGUAGUGAAGACUAGAAGAAAUUCCACCGGGUUAAAUGGAGUGAACUGACUAUAGACAAGGCGAAAGGAGGUAUGGGAAUCAGAAAUCUAAAGAAGCAAAAUCAGAGUUUGAAGAUGAAGUGGCUUUGGAAGUUCACAAACGGUGAAGACAUGCUAUGAAAGGAUGUGAUCAUCAAUAAAUACGGAAUGGAGGGUAAGUGGAUGACAAACCUGGUAUCAAUACCAUAUGGCUGUACAGUGUAGAGGGAAAUUAGGAACCUAUGGCCACUAAUGCAGACUAGAACCAGGUUCAAGGUUGUAAACGGGCAGAAGGUCUCUUUUUGGAAUGGCAAGUGGAUUGGAAAUGCCCCUCUGAAUAGCAUGUACCCUGAUCUAUUCUCUCUAUGUCAAACACAACAUACAACUGUAGCAGAAAUGAGGACAGAACAAGCAUAGAAGCUGCAGUUCAGAAGGCAUUUGAAUGAUUGCUUCUUUCCAUGUAACUCUGCCAGAUUUCACCAAUCUAGUGGAAGAAGAGGAUAGAAUGGAAUGGCAGAAGGAUAGUACAGGAAAAUUCUCAAUAAAAUAGCAUGCAAAGAGCUCAAUGCAUCAGAAUUUCAGAAAAAGGAUUGGCCAUGGAAGAUGAUUUCGAAAGCUAAGGUCCCUUACAAAGUGAAUUGCUUCACAUGGCUCAUAGCCAAAGAUGCAGUAGUGACUCAGAAGAACCUGAAUAAAGGGGAUUUCAGAUGUGUUUCAGUUGCUUCUUACGCAAAUAACAGCUAGGGACAGUCAACCAUCUUUUUUACAUUGUAAGUAGACAGAUCAAUUGUUGAGAACGUUCAUUAGUUUGAGAAAGACCAGCUGGGUGAAACCAAGAAUAUAACAGGGCUUCUCAAUUGCUGGAACUAGGUGGGAAAUGCAGCACAGAAGGAAGAGAGAUGGAAGAUUGUCCCUGCUUGCAUCUGGUGGACAGUGUGCAACAAAAGGAACUUGAGGUGUUUUGAAGACAAGCACAACAAUUUACAGAGCUUUAAGAUGAAUUGUCUAGCUUUGUUUAUUUUUGGUGUAAACAAAAUGUAAUAGUUCAAGCACAAGACAUCUUUGGCGUUCUAAAUUAUAUAUAGAAACAAGUGAUAUACGUAAAGAUUGUAAGAUGUAACACUUUUGAAGGGGAGCUACACUUUAGUUGUAGUAUACCUGCGGAUAUAUAGACUACUAUUACCAUUCUAAAAAAAGUGUAAUUGCUUUCCCAAAAAUAUAAAAGUAAAAUGCAGUUGAAUUUAACCUUCUGCACACUAUUCUCUAUGCUCUCAAAACAUCUUGAAUUCCUUUCUUUCCAUAUAGAGCACCAUAUAGCACCAGGGAUAAUUCUCCAUCUACCUCGGCCCUUUGCAUGCAUACCAGCUUCCUCCCAGCGCAUUAAAGUCUCAGAUACCUUCCUACGCAUUGUCCAAGAAAUGUCUUUAAGAUAUGUUGCUCGGACUUUUCAAAAAUGUCAACAAGUGCGUGUUAGAUUCGCCAAAAGUAGCAUAUUUUUAGAGAAUCUGAUACGGGUGCGGCAUCAAAAGUGAAGAGUCCGCGCAACUUAGCCUUUAGGACUUCAAAAAAGUUUCCAAAGUUGUUAAAUAUACUUGUAAUGUAUAAAUAGAUGGUUAACAAUCUAAAGAUUCUCCACCGAAGAAACAUCUAGAGCACAAGGUUAUCCCUUUCUUCAUGACAUGAUCCUGUGUAAAAACUGCUUCCUUGGCAGUAACCAGACAAAGUAGGAUAUGUUGUGAGGUAUCCUACUUUCCAUAUUUGCUUCCAUGACCAUCUUGGACCCUAUUGAUUUGUUUGGUUCAUCAUCUUGUGGGCUUUGUUGACUCUGAACAUUCCUUUUUCAUUUCCCAUCCACCAUAGUACGUCCUCCCCUAUCUCCAGUCCAUUGAAUGAGUCCACAGUAUGUAAAAACUCAACUACUCUCAUUACCUCCCCAUCAUUAAGUUACCUUCUGAAAUUGAAAUUCCAGCGAUGUGGUGUCCAUAGUUCUGCUAUAGUCCUUUGUUGAAACAAUACCAAGUUGUAGCUAUCAGGAAAAAGCACUUACAUAUUCCCUUCCUCAUGUCAAUUGUCCUUCCAGAACAUAGUCUUGUUUCCAUCCACCACUUUUACCUCUGAGUUGCUUUUAACUUCAUAUCACCCGAGUCUAAUAGAUCGCCAGAGGUUAACCCCAUAUGGUUUAGGCAACUCUUUAGUCAUCCAUCUAUCUUCUUCAGUAUAUUUAGCCCCAAUCACUUUCCUCCAUAGCAUUUGGUUAUUGUUUCAUAUUUCCACAACCAUUUUAUCAUGAGAACCUUACUUUGAAUUUUCGGGUUCCUUGUUGCCAACCAUCCGAUCUUCUUGUUAGUUGUCACUAUAUUACACUUUACCCAGUGAAAACCUUGUCUUGACUACCCUACCACAAGAAUUUCCUUCCGAUACUAUCCAACAUCUUAAUGACCCCUCCAUGCAAGGGAAAAAAAGACAUCAUGUAGGUAGGUAAGGCAUCUCGUAUUGAGUUGAUAAGUGUAGGACUUCCUCUUAUAGUAUUUCCUAGAGAAAAUACUAAGCCUUCCAUACUUGCCAAUUUCUUCUCACACUUCUCAAUCACAUUGUUCCAUAUGUCUAUUGACUUGGAUUUGGCUCCCAAAGGUAAUCCCAAGUACGUAGUUGGCAGGGCACCUAUUUCACCACCCAGAAUUAAUGCUAACCAGUUCAUGUUUACUAACAGGAUAAAUUACACUCUUCCUCCAAUUAAUAUGUAAACCAGAUAUCCCUUCAAAUAGAAAUAGUAUCACCCUUAAGCACUGAAGUUGUUCCUCCUCGGCAGCACAGAAAAUGAGGGUAUCAUUGCAUAUUGCAAGUAUGCCACUUCUCUUCUUUCAACAACUUCUCUAGCAACAUGAAAUUCCCUAAGCCAUCCUCUCAGGUUUGUUGUCUUUAUCAUGUUAUUCAGUCCCUCCAUAGUGAUCAAAAACAAGAAAGGUGAAAGGAGGAUCACCUUAUCUAGGUCCCCUUUGUAUUUGAAAGAAGCCUGCAGGGUUGCCAUUGAAAAGAAUGGAGAACCUAAUAGUUGAAACACAAUAUUUUAUCCAGUUUAGCCACUUUUGCCCAAAUCCCAUCAUCUCCAGCAUCUUCACUAAAUAUUUCCAAUUAACAUAAUUAUAAGUCUCUCUACAUCCAACUUACGGAGGACCUUCGAUUUCUUUUGUUUGUUCCUAGAAUCAAUAACUUGAAUUUGCAAUCAAUACAGCAUCCAUAAUCUGCCUCCUUUGAUAAAUGCCAUUGGUUGUGAGUCUACUAGCUUGUCAAUCACCCUCUUCGGCCUUUCAGUCAUAACUUUGGAUAUCAGCUUGUAUAUACUGCCAAUCAAGCUAAUUGGUCCCUCAACUCCUUAGCACCUUUCUUUUUAGGGAUUAGAGCUAUAAAAGUUGCAUUAAGACCCUUCACAAAUACUUCCUAAUCAUAAAAGUUUUGACAAGUGUCCAUAAUGUCUUGCUCCACAACAUCCCAACAAUUGAUGAAGAAUCCCGAAGUAAAUCCAUUAGGGUGUGGAGCUUUGCCAGUUGCACACAACUUAAGGCAUCUCAAAACUUCAUUUUCCUCAAAGUUGUCUGGAGGGGCUAGACUUUCUUCUUCUGUUAGACAGGGCACUGCAGAUUCUAAUACACAGGACUCCACUGGGUGGUUUCCUUGUAUAGCGUCUGAUAAUAAUCAAUGAUUUCCCAUUCACUUCUACAUGGUUCCUAGGUGAUUUCUCCUUGUAGCAUAAGUUGAUCAAUAUUGUUGAAUCUUCUGUGCGCAUUUGCCAUUUUGCUAAAGAAUUUAGUAUUCUUAUCACCCUCUUUUGGCCAAAGUGUUCUUGAUUUUUGUCUUCCUGAGAUUUCCUCCUUUGAUCAGCUCAUCAUACUUCAGCAUCAGCUCAGCUUUUCUAGCAAUCUCCUCUGAGUAUUCUAUCUUCCCUCUCAACAUCAAGAAUGACAUCUGUUCAAGCAGUUUCUUUCUCUGAGUACUCAGAUUACCCUCUUCCCGUACCUCCAUUCUUUGAGCUUAACUUUCAGUCCCUUUAGCUUGCAAGCCAGUAUGUAAACAACUUUACAAUAAAGUAAAGAGAAAAGACAGCAUUUUCCCCCUGAACUUGUCCGCUCAACUUACUUUAGCACUUAAACUAAACUUCCAUUUAUUUACCCUCUUGACAUCUUUAAAGUGAAUUUAUUUCACCCCUAAUGCUGACGUGGCAUCUUCAAGAAAAAAUAGGCACGUUUAUUUUGUAAAAAAAAUUAAUUUCACUAAUAUUAUAUUUUAAAUAUAAUAGAAAUUUAAAAAAAAAAUUGGACACCUUUUUCUUCUUUUCUUCUCCAAAACAUCAUCAACAACAACACUUAAAUUCCUCCAUUAACAACCUCAAAUCCAUUCUCCACCAACACUCUCCUUCAAUUUUUUUCAUUGUCCUCUAUUAACACCAUCAAAGAACAAACACAAAGACACUAAAUUAAAAAAAUUUCUCCAUUGAAUAUCAUCUCAACCUUCAAUCCAACUCCCUCAAAAUUUGGACAAAAAUUGAAUUAAAUUGAUGAUUUUAUCUUUGAACCACUUAUCAAUGAGAUUUCUUUUGAUUUUUACUUUUAAAUUUUUUUGUUAAUAAGACAAUUUUUGAAUAGUAAAACACAUGAAAAAAUUAAUUUUAACUUGAUGGAGAUAUUUUUGUGUUUGAACAAGAAAGGAGGGGGGUGGGGGGCUGGAAAGGAGAAACAGCGACAGGGGAAAACCUGUUUGCAGGGAUGGGGGCUGAACGAAGAGGGGAUAUUUUUGUAUUUGAACAAGAAAAGAGGGGGGUAAGCUGGAAGGGCAGAAAGAGCAGGAAGUGGGGGUGGGGCUGGAAGGGGAGAAGGGAGGGAGGACCUAUUUGCAGGGGUGGGUUGCGGAGGGCUGGAAGAAAGGGUAUGAAAAAGAAAGAAAAUAGGGUGAGGGGUCGGGAGCAUUUUUUAUUUAAUAUAUAUUUUCAAUAUAUAUAAAAAUAGUACACAUAUAUUUUUUACUUUUUAAAAUAAAAAUACAUAAAAUUAGAUAUAUAAAAUAGUAGGGGUGGGGGCAUUUUUUAUUUAAUAUAUAUAUAUAUAUAUAAAUCGUAAAUAUAUAUUUUUUAAUUUUUAAAACAAAAAUACAUAAAAAUAGUAUGUGUGUGGGAUUACUUUUUUAAAAAAAAUUAUAACUUCUUAUGUGGCAGUGACAUGGCAUUGAUUUGGCACUGACAUGGCGCUUGUAGUGCACUCUCCAUUGUAAGACUGUCAUUGUGAUUUUGAGGAUGAAAUUAAUUCACUUUAAAGAUGUUAAGGGGGUAAAUAAAUGAAAGUUUAGUUUAAGUGCUAAAGUAAGUUAAGCGGACAAGUUCAGGGGGAAAUGAUGUCUUUUCUCUAAAGUAAAUAUCAAUUGUUUAGUGUUCUCUCCUCAUAAAAGGCUCAUUGGUAAGGGUAAGUAUGUCUUAGAACAUUGAUGACAACAAUGAAGCAGCCAUUAAGAGACCAUUAAGAGAGGCAAAGCGCUCAACAUGUUUUAAGCCUCGGUAAGGCUUAAGCUCGCUUUAAGCGCCUUUGACAACACUGGUAGUAGCAAUAGCCUGAAUGUUACCUCUCUGAUUGGAAAAAUACUACUUUUUCUCUAGUUCACCUUCAAGCUAGACAUAACUUCAAGAACCACCAGCAUAACUUCAAGAACCACUAGCAUGACUCUAAUAUAAUGAACCUGUUCCACAUUAGCUUCACAGGAAUUACGAUGUCAUCUGCAUAACGCAGAAGGCAAAUUUCCCGAUCACCCUCCCUAAUCUUGAAACCUCUCUCAACCAAUUAUUUUGGAGUGAUAUUCUCACUUUACUACUAAAACCCUCCAUAGCUAGUAAGAACAGAAAUGGGAUUGGGGUCCCCUUGUUUGAGUCCCUUUUCAAAUGGAAAAAAAAAACAAUAAGCUUUCCAUUUACAAAGUAAAGAACCUAAUAGUUUUAACCAAAAAUUGAUCCACUUCAACCAUUUAUACAAAAACUAACAACUUUAAUACUCCAUUUGGUAGCCUUUAGCAAAGAUCUAUGGGACUCAGCGAAAGGCAUUACGAAGUAAAACUUUCAUAAUUUAUCGCGUUUCUGGCUAGAAAGAGAUGACAGUCCAACAAAUUUGUAGGCCUCAUGAGGGUGUUAUCCACUUGGACUUAAGAUUCAGAAGGAACCUUAAUGAUUGGGAGAUGGAAAAAUUUCACAAUUUGAUAGAGCUUUUCUAUGGGCUAGACUCACCAAACUUAUUGGAUAUCUAGAGGUGGCAGAAUAGUGGUGACGGCUUAUUCACCAUUAGCUCUUUUUAUAAGAGUUUUCUAUUGAGAGAGGAAGGUCAUUUUCCCAUAGCUCCAUACGGAUCCCAAGAACACCAUGGAAGGUUUGUUUCUUUGUUUCAUUGGUAGCAAGAGAUGCGAUAUUAACAGUGGAGAAGUGGAGAAUGUGAGAAAGAGGAGAAUCACCUGUCUUAGUUGGUGUUUCAUGUGUAAAAGUGAAAGUGAAAGUGAAAGUGUAUACCAUUCUUUUGCAUUGUAAGGUGGCUAGUCGGUUAUGGAGGUGACCCUAAAAUUUUUAGGAUGCAAUGGGUCAUGUCGGGUACAGUCGGGUACAGUGAAGGAGGUUUUGCAAAGUUGGACAUAGAAGGGGAAAGGAAAGCUUGAGGGCAUGGUGUGUUUCCCCCUUAGCAAUCAUGUGGGUCAUUUGGAAAGAAAGGAAUAAGAGGGCUUUUGAAGAGGUGGAACUUGACUUUGUAAAACAAAUGAGUAGUGUUAUGUCUCUAGUUUAGUGUACUUGCGAGGUUCUAAUUUAUAUAGAGGAUUGCAUAUCUUUUGUUGAGAACUAUAUUGUGCUGUGGGUUCUCUUCUUUUAUAUACGGCUUGCAUAUGGGGUUCCUACAAAUGUUAAUAAAAUUAUUUACCUUAGCAAAAAAAACUAGUGUUGUUGUAGUAAACUCAACUUCUAAUAGCUUUUGCAUAUAAAUAAGCUAUAACCGCCAUCGCCAACAGUAACUACUCAAGGUGUAAGAGAAGGCAUACCCAUCUUCAGAAGUUGAAAUAAGUUCUAAACCCUUGUUCAAUAUCUGCUUUUGUGAAGGAAUAGCCCCCACUAGUUGGUAACACUGGCUCAACAAGCUGUAUGCUCUGCAUUUGAGCUCAAAGCAUGACGGAAUGGACUUCAACAGCAAUUGCUGAACCAUGUAAGCAUCUAUUAGUAAAAGAAUAAAAAUCCUCAUCCAACAAACACAAAUUGUUUAACAUCCCACAAAACAAAACAUCAAAAUGAAUUUCAGCAUAAAUAAGUAAAUAAAUAAAUAUCCGGUAUUUUAAUGAAAGAGAUCCAAAUGCAACAAACUGAAAAUUGAGGAUUCAUUGCUGACACCAACUAGCUUGGGAUUGCAGCACCCUAGUGAUUAAAGAACAGGAAUGAUUAGGGAACCAAGGUCAGGCAAGAUAGAUAAUGAGUUCUUCCCACUUACUUAAGUGUUGAUGUUAAGAGUUAUUUUUUAGUGUGCUAGUACAAAAUAAAACACCCGGUGGACUAGUUUUACAAAAAUUACUAAUAGCCUAUUUGGCCAAGAAUCUUGAAGCCUGAAGGACCUCUGUUUUUUCAAAUAAAAGUAUCAUUUUUUUUUAUAGAUUUGAGCUGUUUGGCAAACCAAAAAAUAAGUGUUCUUGAGAAGCAAUAGAAGCAGUUUCUCUAUUGUUGCGAAGAACCUACAAAUUUCUGUUUUUUAAAAGAAGCUUUAGAAGAACUUACUAUAAAUUUAUAUUUAGCAAACUACCCCUCAUUAAUUUAAUAAAUCUAUCUUUCAGUUAAGUACAACUUCUUUCUCCUCCUCCUCUUUUGGAUUAAGUCUAUCAACUAUAAAUACGAGUUACUUCCCCAUUUUUUCUACCAUUUCUUUCCUCUAUCUCUGCUCUUCCUUUUUGGAGUAACAAAGUCAUUGCAGAAUUUUCAAUGUUUUGUAAAUCAAGUUAAUAUUUUUUUCUCUCUCAAGGCAUGAUUUCCUUUUGUUUGAAGUAUACCAAUUUCAAGAUUUCUUUUUAAUAGAUUGAUCAGAUUGUAAUAUUGUAGACUGUUUAACUCUUCUGAAAUAAUACCUCAGAAAAAAAAAAAAACUCCUUUGAAUGUAACUCUUGUUUCUAAAAUCCAAGUCAUGCAUUUGAUUUUUUCCCACAACAAUCUGAGAUGUAGAAUUGAAAGAACAUUUGGAAUGGAUUUUUAUUUAUAUGGAUGGAUUGAUGUGGCAGCAAAAGUAGAGGAUCUAAACUCCAAAUGAAAGCAGGCAUAUGUAUGACCGACUUACAGAGCGUUCGAGGUGGGAUUUGGCAUGGUUGACAUUAUUGGAGUGGUUUAGAAGGAGAUUAGCGAUGCGGAGUCGUGUUUUAAUCUCGAUAAUAGGAAGGAACGAGACUUGGCUUUGACAUAUAGCUUCCAAGCAUUUCACCGAUUUUCCAAUUUCUCCCUUCUUCUCCUCAUAAUUUUCCAUUCCUUCAAACUUCAAUUCCCUUCCAAGUAUUUCAAAUUGGGGAUUUCAACCCGACAGUGAGUUGAAUGAAGAAACUACGAAUGAUUUUAGGGAAAAUAGCACCCUUUCAUCCUUAAAGAGAUUGCUUUUUUCUAUUCAGUCCUUGUAUUAUUGGACAAAACGUGUUUGACCUUUCAAAUACUGGUCAAAAAAACGAAAAAGCAUAAAUAAGCCUGUGUCGCCCCAACUUCCCCAAAAGCAUAAAUAACUAUUGCAUGAAUUAUAACUUUUGCAUGAAUUAUAUUUCCCUUAGUAGCUAAUAUGAUCAAAAAAAAAAAAAAAACAUACUUUGAUUAAAAAUAUAAGUGGGGUCCACUCUAAAUUUUCAAAAAAUUUCAACCUCUUCUUCCUCAAAUCUCAUCACCUUUUCUCUUCUCCUUAUUAUAUUUCUCUUUUUUUUCUCUUACCCAUCAACUAUCUCCAAUCAAAUACAUAUCAAAAUAUUUUCAUGUGAAUUUCUACAAUAAGAUUCUUACACAAAAAUCUUCAAGAAAAUUUAGUUUAUUCCCUCAAAAUCAGUUUUCCUCAAUAGUUAAAUUAACUCCAUAACUGUCAAAUUCUUGUUUCGAUUGAACAAACUGAAACAAGAAUCAAAUUUCAACAAUUUAAAUUCAAAAUUAAAAAUGAUAAAACUCAAAAAAAUUAUCGAAUUCAGAGGGGGUGAGGGUGAAAGUAGGGAGGAAAAAAAUAUUUUUCUCUACACCAAUUUCGUUGCAAAGUUUGUUGGUAAACUCUUUUAGCAAAUUCAAGCAUUUUUUCUUCUGACGUUGCGUGAAUUUUAUUGGCAGAUUAUUGUUGUUUUCAACUGGGUUGACCCAACAAAGUGGAACUCAGUGCAAGGAGGGUGAUGUUGGUGGUGAGGUUGGGGAAUGGGAAUUUCAGUGGUGGAGAUGGUGAAUUCAGCGGCGAAAAGUGGUGAGGUUGGUAUAUAUUCUAGAGCUAUGGAGGUGGAAAUGGCUCCUCCAGCUAGUGGGGGAUGGGGGUUGGUUUGGAAAAGAAACUUUAUUCUUUUUUCUUAAUAUAUGAAGUAUUUAAAAAAAAAAAUCUUACAUGGCUCCAAUGUGACGCAUGUGCUGAUGCACUCUUCAUAGUGAUAGUGAUAUAAUAUUUUUGGAGUGGUAUAAAAUUCAUUUAAAAGUUGUUUAGGGGAUAAAUAAUUAUUUAUAAAGUUAAAGUGCUAACGUGAGUUUUAACGAUAAGUUUUUUUUUUUGGAGGGGGUAUACUUUUUUUCCAAAAAAGAAACUUAACGAAAUCUUUAUUUUAAAAUUGUUAUUAUUAUAGAAUUAUUAAUUAAUUUUUUCAACAGAAAAAAAAAGGCUUGCAAAUUUAGUCAUCAACCUUACAUUUUUCAUUUGCUUUUAUGUAUUGUGUCACCUAUGGAAUUGUUGAAAACGCUAAUGAUAUAUCCAUGAUUUGAAAGUGUCUUAUCUUGUUGGUUGUCUAGAAGAAGUUUAAAUACAAUUAAAAAUUGCCUACAAGCACAUCCUUUUUUUGUUAUUUCACUUACGAUAUAUCUUACUUGUUUUAGUCACAGUGACUUAUUGUUACUUACAUUAAAAGAAUUUUUAGUGGAGUCUUCUCCCUCCAACAACCGUCUCUCAACAUAUCUCUUUUUUAUUUUAAAAAGAAAGAGAAGUAGAUCACCUCAUCGCUCACGAAGAUGGAAGACACUGUUAUAGCCUAUGGGAUGAUGAAGAAGAGGUUGGAGAUCAUCAAGUACUUGUGGCAAAAUUGGUGAAGUAAUUGGAGUCUGUAAUCAUGUUAUAUUGUGCACUAUCUUUUUUUCUUCUUUCACUUUUCUAAUUCUUCAAAUUAUUAUUCUAAGUUGUCCAUGUAUGUGAGACCCCAUAAAAUUUUGAUCAUUUUAUUUUUGGCCUUUCCACGUGCGUAAUAUCAAUUUUUGACUUGAUUGUGUUUAGAAAUGUUAAAAGGGUAAUUUGGAAAGAUUUCAGAAUUUUUUAAAGGGGUUCGGGAUCAUUUUGCACACCGUGGCAGUGAGGGUUCGCAAUUUUCGUGUCACGGAGAUUACGCUCUGCGAUAUCGGUGUGGCACGGAGGAUAACAUCUAUGAUAAUAGCGUGUCACGCCAAGGUGUUAAUUUCAUCAAGUUUUGUUUUUUUCACUUGGAGUGAGGGACUUUUGGGCUUUUUACCCUUUGUACGAUCUUUAAAUAUAAAAUAAGUCUCUUUUUUUCAGUUUUAAAAAGAUCAAAUCAUCCUCUUUCUUUCUAAAACUCAAAACCCAAGAACAUUAAAAGUUUCACAGUGCAUUUAUCAUCCGGGCUCUAUACUUCAAUUUGACUUAAAAUUUUUGUGUGUUUUAGGCAUGUUUCUCUUCUCUAAACUUUAAUUUUACAUUGUGGCAUAAAUUGAGUGGAUUUUUCAUGUGAUUAAAUUAUGGGUUUUAAAAUUGGGUUAAGGGAUUUUGAUUGUUACUAAUUAAAUCACUUGUCCCAUGUUUUGAAUUGAUUAUUCAUGUUUUAAAUUGAUGUUUUUGGAACUUAAUUAGUACAUUAUUUAAAUUGUUGGAAUGAGGGACAUGAGUUUCCCCAAAAUUGGAUAAAUUUUGGCUUGGAAUUGCGUGAACCUCAAACCACUUUGUGAAUUUGAUUUUAUUAUGAAAAAUUGCAUGGUUUAAACUUGCUUUUGAACUUAAUAUAUUACAUUAAUAGAUAAUUAGAUAUAAAAAUAGAUUUGGAUGGCCUUGGUGGCUAUGGUUUGGAUUUUAAUAGAACUUGAGAGUUCAAUUUGUUUGUGUGAAUUGGUUUGGCAUGUUUAAGUUAACUUACAAACAUAUUGGUAUAAUGAUACUAAGUGGUAAAUGCCGAAUGAAUGACUCCUGGGUUACUAGUUGGAACUAUGUGCAAAGUGAUUUUAAUUUGGGCUUAAAGGAGGUUGUGUAGCUCACCGUGAAGGUGUAAGUCCCGGGGGGAUGAACACUGGAUACCACAUUUGUAUAUACAUAUAUAUAUAUAUAGUACAACUGUUCCCAUGGUGGCUUUAGUUUUUCGUCAAUUCGUGCAGAUAACACACACUAAGGCCCUUUCAGUAGAUGGGGCUGAAUCCAUAUAGCCCAUAGGUGCCUUUAGAAUGGAUCAAGCUACAUAGUCCAGGUUAAUGAUUUUAAACUCUCAUGUUCAUGACCCUUGGCCCUAUACCGACAUCUUGUAUAUGUAUAUAUGAACGUAUGUAUGUGAUUUUGACUGAUUUUGGAUAUGAUAUUAUUUUAUCACUUUCUUGACUUACAUGCCAGUGCUUAUCCCACUUACCAUUCUAAGACGCUACAUCAUUUCAUGAUAUAGGGUCUGAAGAUAUUUUUGUUGCUCCUAUACAACGUUAGGUGGAUUAGUACGUUUGUUUAGUUGUUGUGAAGUAGUGAGCCUCCAUCCUUCGAAAGGCCUUAUUGUUUCAUUAUUCUUUAUUUAUAUACUCAGUAUUUUUGGAUUCUUUUUUGUCAUAGUUGUAGACACGUAAUUUUAUCCCUCUAAAAAUUAUUUUUACUAUUUUACCCCAUUUUAUCAUGCACCCCACUCCAUUCCAUAAUUUUUCCCCCAAAAGGACAAAAAAAAACCAAAUCCCUAACAAAUCAAAUCCUUAAUAUUCCCUUAUCCUAACUAAUUUUUACACCUCAUCCUAACCACUAUCCUACUCCCUAUCCUUACCUUACCCCCUACCCUGCCCACGCGGUUUCCACCCCUCAUAAUACACGGUUUUCUUCACUCACACGAAAUAUAAUGCAUACCUAGGUGGGACCCAUCAAAAUUCCUACAACAAUACACGCAUACUGCCUACAUAUACACUCCACAUAACAGAUAGCAAGAGGGGACGAUAUAGGAACAGAAUACAUAUACACAAAGAAAACAAUAAUUAGGCAGCCUCCAUUUUUUUUCCAUAUAGAGAUAAUAUAGGCCAUCUCUCCACCAUUAAUACACACCUGCACAUACUAGAAAAAUAAUACAUAUGCACUACCAUAUCUCCUUCACCAAUUAUAUAUACCCACCUGCAUAUACCAACCCACCAGGGACCUCCCUUCAAUACAUCGAUACAUACACAGUAGGAGAAGCAGAAAACAAAAGAAUAAAAAGGGGUCGAGCACCGAAGAGAUAGGGUGAUUAGAGAGAAUCAUGAUAGAAGGGGAGAGAAUUAAGAGUGACACAUAUAGAGAAAGGAGAAGAAAGAGAGAAGAUAUUACAAGGGUGUGACGGUCCGUUGGUCCAGCGAUGGACCGUCUAUCCAACCAUCACAGGCAAGGCAAAAAGUCCAACUCUGGCCCAGGUGUGACGGUCAGGACCAACGGACCGUCGACCCAGCGAUGAACCUCGCACCCCACCAUCGCAUAUCCCGUCUAGUGAUUUUAAGUCAUCUUUAAAAAGGACUUUUUAAUUUUUUUCCCACACUUUUAAUUCUCAGAAAUAUCCAGAACGAAGCUAAGGGCUUCAUUGUUCAUCCAAACAUAUCAAAUCUAGGGUUUCUCCCUUAAUAACAAGAACAAAUUUCUUCUCCAAGAACUAUAAGAUCCCACCAUAGAUUUUACAAAUUGAGUUAAGAUUCAAGAAUCUCGAUUUAAAAGCUUCAAGAACCCUUACUCAAGGCUCCAGAAAGAAUCUCAAGCAAGUUUUUCACCUACAAGUCAAAAUCUUAGGUAUGUGGGGUCUGAACAAGGACACUUCUUUUGUCCUUGUGCCCAAAAGUUAUUUUAAUUAUGAGAAUAUAUGAUUUUCUAUAUUUUCUUAUGAAAUUGAAGUAUGGGGUUAUACCCUAUGUUGUUACUCCUCGAGAUUUUAAUAGUUCCAAUGUUCUAGAAAUUGAAGUACAUGAGUAUGUUGAGAUUUUAAGGCAAAAUAUUGAAAAUUCUAGAUUUUCUAUAUGAUUUAUAAAUCUUUAUGACAUCUAGUAUGUACUUUGAUGAGUCUUAACUUGAUAUUUAAUUAUGGGUCACUAAGCCCUACUUGAGAUUUGGACUUUUAUGAACUUUUGUGCUAUAUGCACCCAUGAAUUAUGUACUUUGAUAUUAUUGAGAAAAAUUUUGCCUUUUGGUCAUAGUAGAGUUGAAAUCCACAUUGAGUAUGAUUUUAAGCAAAUAGAAAUAUAUUUUGGUCUUUAUUAUAGACCCUUGAGUUAUUUUGAGGUGGAUUUCCUAAGAGUUUUGAGCUGAGUAUGGGAAUAGUAUUUAGCACCGAGUUGAGUACGAUUCCAAGGUCUCAUACCCCAGGACUAUGUGCCACCGUAGGUUCAAGAUUUAUGGACCUAAAGCCGAGAUAGUGAUCACUAAAGAUGAGGUUCUACUCCGAUGGCAAGGAUAGAAUAGCUCUCCCCAAUAUGGGCAAGACGUUGGACUCCAUGCAGCUCAUAUGGUUUAUGUCAGUUAGAAGAAACUCCCAAGUUCCAAGUGUCCCAAGUCUAAAGGAGUUCUAGAGUUCCUAAGUGUUAAAAUUUCCUAAAAGUUCUGAGUCCUUAAGCUUUAAAGAAGUUUUACUCUCCAUGAGAUAAAAGCAUGAGUUUGAAAGUAUUGUUUAAAGCUUUCUUUAGCCUUCAAGUAUUGAGAAUAAGAGGAGAGUAUGGAUUUUAAAGUUAAGUAUAAUAACUCAUGAGGUUUGUGUUACAUGCUUAACUGUUUAUGAUUCAUGAGUUUUACAUUUUAGACUUAUUCAAGCUAUGUGAGUCAUUCCUAUUUGCAUGCAUGAUCUUAUUAAAGAGUAUUGAUAUUAUUUUGUGUAAUGCAUACACCUCUAUAUACUCAGUACAUUUACAAAGUGCUGAUCCACAUAUAUGUCUGUGUGCUACAUUGUCUUAUAAUGUAGGUUCAGGUGCUCAGUCUUAGCAGUGAUCGUGAUUUUCGAGUGCCUUUGCUUACAUUCCAUAGUUGGUUAGUCCUCAUGGUUCGAGGACCUAUAUUUGCAUCUUUCCUAUUUUUAUAGUGUUUUGAGUUUUACUUUCAGAUCAUUGCGAGUCAGUUGGGGGUCUGUCCCAAUGGCUCUCCAGUUGAGUAGUAGAGGCUUUAUCAGACUAGAUUGUCAGUUGAAGUUGUGUUCUAGACUAUCUGUAUUUUUCCUAUCCAGAUAUUAUUUCUAGUUAUUUUGGAUUAUGUUGGCACAGUAAGGCAUCAUUAUUUAGCUUAUUUAUACUAAAAUAGGUGUUAGAAGUAGUAACAUGCUCAAAGGGUUAGCCUAGGGCUACUUGUAGCCUUAAACAUUGUGUGACGUCUCGGGAUAAGAUUUUGGGGUGUUAUAAAAUUGGUAUCAGAGUCUAAGGUUUAAGGAGUUCUAGGGAUUCUGAUAAGCCGCAUUAAGUAGAGUUUUGAUCAUCAAUGUGUAGCGUGCCACAUCUAUGAGCGAGAGGCUACAAGACGUUUUAGAAAAAUAUUGUUUCUUUAUUUUAGAUUCUAUCGUGCCUAUAAUUAUCCCUCUCAUCUUAUAAUUCGUGCUCUCUUAUUUCAAAAAAUGUAUCCCAAAAGAGCGAACGCCCGCAAAACAAUAAUGAGCAACCUCAUCCUAUUGAUCCUUUGAAUGAGACCGUGUCUCAUGCUGAGUUAUAGGCGGCCUUUUAGGUGUUAGCCCAAGUAGUCAUAACAAAUAUUCAGUCUAAUAACCAGGAUGCAGUUCUGAAUCAUUAAAGAGGUAAUUUAGCUACUGCUAGGAUUCGUGAUUUCAUGUAAAUAAAUCCGCCAGAGUUUUAUGGAUCUAAGGCAGGUAAGGACCCACUGUUAUACCUUGAGGAGGUAAGAAAGAUCAAUUAAGUGAUGCAUAUUUCUGAGGAAGAAAGUGUUGAGCUGGCAUCUUACAGGUUGAAAGAUAUUGCUUAUGACUGGGUUGUAGCAUGGAGGAAGUGUAGAGGUGAGGAUAUUGCCCUUAUGACUUGGCAGGUGUUUCAAGGUGCAUUCUUGGACAAUUUCUUACUACUUGAGAUGAGAGAAGUGAAGAUUGAGGAGUUUAUAAACUUGAGAUAGGGUUCCAUGACUAUUAAGAAAUAAUGCCUUAAGUUCAAUCAGUUGGCCAAGUAUGCUCCUGAUUUAAUGGCUGAUACUCGAACUAGUAUGAGCAAGUUUAUGACCAGUGUGAAUGGUUUGGUGCUAAAAGAGUAUAGGACUGCUAUGCUUAGUAGGGAUAUGGAUCUAUCUAGAUUGAUGAUACAUACAUAGCAAAUAGCGGCAGACAAGAUAAGGAAGAGAGAUAGAGUGGGGGGUAACAAGAGGUCUAGAUCCGAGCAGCAUGAGUAUGGUCAGGUUAGGUCCCAUGGAGGGAACUGCCCAUAGUUCUAGAGUUGUUCGUCUAUACCAACGCAUUCAUCAGCUAGUGCUUCCAUGCCUAGAGGCAGGCAGGAGCAAGGGAACAGGUCUUCUACGUCCUAGUCCCAGAACUGUGUAAGUAUCAGACCUCACUAUCCUCUAUGUACCAAGUAUAGUAGGGACCAUCCCAGUAAGUGCUUAGCAGACUAGAGGGGUUAUUUUGGUUGUGGCAAGCUGGGCCACAGGCUUCGAGAGUAUCCGCAUACUAGGUAAUAGAACAGAGACGCUUGACCUCAAACAUAGACUACUAGUGCACCAGCUCUUGUAGCUUGCCCUGCCCCUACUUAGGGCUCUUCAUCUAGCAUUGCUAGCAGUCAGCGCCAGAAUAGAUUCUUUGCUCUACCUUCCUAUUAGGAGCUGGAAGACUCUUACGAUGUUGUCACUGGUAUGCUCCGUGUAUUCCACUUUGAUAUUCAUGUGUUGUUGGACCUUGGGUUAAGUUUCUCUUAUGUGACCCCAUUUGUUUCUAUGAAUUUUAAAGUGAGUCCAGAAAAGAUUCUUGAGUCAUUUCUAGUUUUUACUCCAGUAGGGAAGUCAGUUGUUGCUAAGUAAGUGUAUGGUAAUUAUCCUAUUACUGUUCUUUAUAGAGUUAUGCUUGCUGAUUUGAUAGAGUUGGACAUGGUGGAUUUUGACCUUAUUUUGGGUAUGGAUUGGCUUCACUCUUGUUAUGCAUCUAUAGAUUGUCGUACUCGUGUGGUUAAGUUUCAAUUUCCUGAUGAGCCAGUUUUUGAGUGGUCUGGGAGUUCAGUAUCUCCCAAGAGUCAUUUUAUCUCCUAUCUCAAAGCCAAAAAACUAAUAUCAAAAGGUUGCGUCUAUCACCUAGUUAGAGUUAAAGACACUAAGUCCAAGGCUCCAACUAUUCAGUCAGUCAACAUUGUUAAUGAGUUCAUGAUAUUUUUCUGGAAGAUUUCCCAAGGGUACCUCCUAAUAGAGAUAGAAUUCGGGAUUAACCUUCUUCUCGACACUCAGCUUAUUUUUAUUUUUCCCUACUGUAUGGCACCUGUAGAGCUUAAGAAGUUGAAAGAGAAACUCAAAAAUCUUUUAGAUAAGGGUUUCAUAAGGCCAGUGUCUCUCCUUGAGGCGCUCCUAUCCUAUUCGUGCGAAAGGAAGAAGGUUCUUUGCGUAUUUGCAUUGACUAUCGUCAGCUUAACAAGGUCAUAAUUAAGAAUAAGUACCCUCUUCCAAGAAUUGAUGACCUGUUUGAUCAGUUGCAAGGCGCAAGUUAUUUCUCUAAGAUAAACCUUAGAUCCGGCUAUUAUCAACUUAAAGUAAGGGAGUGUGAUAUCCCAAAGACAGCCUUCCGAACCCGUUAUGGUCACUUUGAGUUUCUAUUUAUGUCUUUUGGGUUAACCAAUGCUCCAACAACUUUCAUGGACCUCAUGAAUCGAGUGUUCAGACAGUAUCUUGAUAUGUUUGUCAUUGUGUUCAUAGAUGAUAUCCUUGUGUACUCCCUUUUUAAGAAUGACCAUGUGGAUCAUCUUAGAAUCAUCCUACAAAUUCUUAAAAAUCAUCAGUUGUUUUUCAAAUUUAGUAAGUGUGAAUUUUGGCUAAGAUCAGUGGCCUUUCUGGGUCAUAUUAUUUCAGCCGAAGGUAAUAGGGUUGAUCCCCAGAAGACAAAAGUUGUAAGAAGUUGGCCUAGACCUAUCUCUCCAUUUGACAUUAGGAGUUUCUUGGGUCUAGCUAUCUAUUACCGCCGUUUUGUUAAAGGUUUCUCUUCUAUUGCAUCCCCCAUGACCCGGUUGACCUAAAAUAAAAUUAAGUUCCUUUGGUCAGAUUCUUGUGAGAAAAGUUUUUAGGAGUUAAAGACUCGACUUGCUUCAGCCCCUAUGUUAACUUUACCUAAUGGUACAGAUGGUUUUGUGGUGUAUUAUGAUUCCUCUAGAGUUGGUUUGGAUUUUAUGUUGAUGUAGAGAGGUAAGGUUAUAGCCUAUGCCUCUAGACAGUUGAAGCCGUAUGAAAGGAACUACCCAACCCAUGAUCUUGAGUUAGCUGUUGUGGUCUUUGCUUUGAAAAUAUGGAGACACUAUCUGUAUGGUGUUCAUGUUGAUGUGUUUACUGAUCAUAAGAGCCUGUAAUAUGUAUUUACUCAGAAAGAGUUGAAUCUUAAACAGAGGAGGUGGUUAGAGUUGCUAAAGGAUUAUGAUAUGAGUGUGCUAUAUCUUCUGAGCAAGGCCAAUAUAGUGGCAGAUUCCCUUAGUAGGAUGUCUUUGGGCAGUGUGGCUCAUAUAGAGAAAGGUAAGAAAGAGUUAGCUCAUGAUGUGCAUUAUUUGGCUAGACUGGGUGUUAGGUUGCUCGAUUCCGCUGAGGGGAAUAUCUUGGUGCAGAGUCAUUUCGAAUCCUCUUUAGUUUCUAAAGUGAAGGAGAAGCAAAACAGGGAUCUUAGUUUGGUCAGACUGAAGGAGUCAGUUAAGGACCAAAAGUUAGAGGUUUUCUCCCAAGGGAGAGAUGGCGUGUUGAGAUUACAGGGUAGAUUGUUUGUUCCGUGUAUUAAUGAUUUGAGAAAGAAGAUUAGGGCUGAAGCGCAUGGCGUGCGGUGUUCUAGUCAUCCGGUACUACCAAGAUGUACCACGACUUAUGGUACUAGUGGAGUGGUAUGAAGAAGAAUAUAGCUAAGUUUGUGGCGAAGUGUGCAACGUGCCAACAGAUUAAGGUAGAGCACCAAACACCCGGUGGUGUGAUGUAAGAGUUUGGUAUACCCACUUGGAAGUGGGAAGAGGUGAAUAUAGAUUUCCUAACUGGAUUACCUCUUUUGCGUCAUCAUCAUAAUUCUAUUUGGGUGGUUGUGGACAGGUUGACUAAGUUCGCGUAUUUCUUGCCCGUGCAUACAUCUUAUACAGCUGAGGAUUAUGCUAGAUUAUAUAUCUGGAAGUUAGUCAGGUUGCAUGGAGUCCCCUCAUCUAUCAUUUCAAAUAGGGGUACUCAGUUCACUCUGCAGUUUUGGAGAGCUUUUCAGAAGGGUCUUGGUACCCAAGUUCACCUGAGUUCUGCUUUUCAUCUACAGACAGAUGGGUCAAGCUGAGAGGGCCAUCUUGACUUUGGAGGAUAUGUUGACAGCAUGUGCUUUGACUUGAAGGGUAGUUGGGAUGAGCAUUUGCCAUUGAUAGAAUUUGCUUAUAACAACAGUUAUCAUGCUAUCAUCAAGAUGGCACCAUUUGAGGCCUUCUAUACGAGGAGAUAUAGAUUACCCAUAGGUUGGUUUAAAGUGGGUUAAGCUACUUUGAUUAGACCUGAUGCAAUAUUUGAGGCUAUGGAGAAGGUGAGGUUGAUUAAAGAAAGGUUAAAGGUAGCUCAAAGUCGUCAAAAGUCAUACGCCGAUGUGAGGAAAAGGGAUCUUGAGUUUGAGGUGGGUGAUUUGGUGUACUUGAAGAUUUCAUCCAUGAAAGGGGUGAAGAGGUUUGGCAAAAAAGGGAAGCUUAGUCCCCGUUAUGUUGGCCCUUAUAGAGUUUGAGUUGUGUUGGGAAAGUCGCAUAUGAAGUUGAGUUGCCCGCAGAAUUAUCAGCUAUUCAUCCUAUUUUUCAUGUCUCCAUGCUUUAGAAGCAUAUUUGUGAUUCUAUUGUAGUGGAUCCUUCAGAGAGUGCUGAUAUUCAGAAUAGUCUUUCAUUUGAUAAGAUUCCUAUUGAGAUCCUAGAUUUCUAGAUUCGUAGAUUGGGGAACAAAGAGGUUUCCUUGGUCAAAGUUUUGUGGCAGAACCAGUCAGUUGAGGGGGCUACUUGGGAGGCAGAAGCAGACAUGCAAGCCAAGUACCCGCACCUCUUCUCCGCGAGUUCAGAUCAAGCCGAAGGUAUUAUUCUUCCUUAAUUAAACUCUUCUAAUCUAAAGUUCAACUAUGUAUCUAUUCUUACAUGAGUUCUUGCAAUUUUUAAAGUAUUCAAGAGUUUAGAAAGAUGUAGAACCCGCUUAGCAAAUUGCUUCAGGUAUGUGUACUUAGUUUUCUCUAUGUUCUUAGCCUAACUAGAGAUAUUCGAGGAAGAAUGUUUCUAAGGAGGAGAUAUUGUAAGACCCCGCAAAGUUCCCUUAUAGUCUUAGCACUUAGAGCGUGUCAAAUGAAGUGUAAUUCUAGCCAUGAAAGAUUAGGGAGUGACUUCCAAAGUGAUUAAUUAUUUUAACCUUGUUGAAUUUUCCUAAAAGUGACAUUUUAUCGUGUGGGAAAUUGAAUUAUCUUUCCUACGAUACUUGUUUUGUCGGAAUCCAACAUCGAAAGAGAAAGAUAUGGCAAUUUUACAGAAAGCAGUAAAAUCAUCCAGGUGCGACGGAGAGGGCCUACGGACCGUCGAGCUUGCAAUGAACCAUCGCCCAAACCAUAGUAGAGGAGACAGUAAGACCUAAUUCUGGUUAGGCACGAUAGUAAGGCUGAUGGACCAUUGGUCUAGCGACGGACUGUCGACCCAGCCAUCACAGGCAAGGUAGAAAGUCUAAAUUUGGCCAGGUGCGACGGUCAGGACUGAUGGACCGUUGACCCAGCAACGGACAGUCGCACCCAACCGUCGCAUAUCCCGUCUAGCGAUUUUAAGUCAUCUUUAAAAAGUUCUUUUUGGUAUUUUCCCACCUUUUUAAUACUCAGAUAUAUCCAGAACGAAGCUGAGGGCUUCAUUAUUCAUCCAAACAUCUCAAAGCUAGGGUUUCUCCCUCAAGAACAAGAAUAAAUUCCUCCUCCAAGAACUUCAAGAUGCCACCAUAGAUUUUACAAAUUGAGUUAAGAUUCAAGGUUCCCAAGUUAAAGGCUUCAAGAACCCUCACUCAAGAGUUUCAAAAAGAGUCUCAAGCAAAUUUUUCACCUAUAAGUCAUAAUCUAAGGUAUGCGGGGUUUGAACAAGGACACUUCUUUUGUCCUUGUGCCUAAAAGUUAUUUUAAUUAUGAGAAUAUAUGAUUUUCUAUGUUUUCUUAUGAAAUUGAAGUAUGGGGUUAUAUCCUAUGUUGUUAUUCCUUGAGAUUUUAAUAGUUCCAAUGUUCUAGAAAUUGAAGUACAUGAGUAUUUUGAGAUUUAAGGCAAAAUGUUGAAAAUUCCAGAUUUUCUAUAUGAUUUAUAAAUCUUUAUGACAUCUAGUAUGCACUUUGAUGAGUUUUAACUUGAUAUUUAAUUAUGGGUCACUAAGCCCUACUUGAGAAUUGCACUUUUAUGAACUUUUGUGCUAUAUGCACCCAUGAAUUAAGUACUUUGAUAUUAUUGAGAAAAAUUUGUCCUUUUGGUUAUAGUAGAGUUGAAAUCCAUAUGAAGUAUGAUUUAAAGCUAAUAGAAAUAUGAUUUGGUCUUUAUUAUAGACCCUUGAGUUAUUUUGAGGUGGAUUUCUAAGAGUUCUGAGCUGAGUAUGAAAGUAGUAUUUAGCACCGAGUUGGGUAUGAUUCCAAGGUCUCAUGCCCCAGAACUACGUUCCACCAUAGGAUCAAGAUUUAUAGGCCCAACGCCGAGAUAGUGAUCACUAAAGAUGAGGUUCUACUUCAAUGGCAAGGAUAGAAUAGCUCUCCCCAAUGUGGGCGAGACGUUUGACUCCAUGUAGCUUACAUGGUUUAUAUUGGUUAGAAGAAAAUCCCUACUUCCAAGUGUCAAGAGUCUAAAGGAGUUCUAGAGUUCCUAAGUGUUAAAAGUUCCUAAAAGUUCUGAGUCCUUAAGUUUUAAAAAAGUUUUACUCUCAAUGAGAUAAAAGAAUGAGUUUGAAAGUUUUGUUUAAAGCUUCUUUUAGCCUUCAAGUACUGAGAAUAAGAAGAGUGUAUGGAUUUUAAAGUUAAGUAUAAUGACUCACGAGAUUUGUGUUACAUGCUUCACUGUUCAUAAUUCAUGAGUUUUACAUUUUAGACUUAUUCAAGCUAUGUGAGUCAUUCCUAUUUGCAUGCAUGAUCUUAAUAAAGAGUAUUGAUACUGUUUUGUGUAAAUGCAUACACCCCCAUAUACUUUGUACAUUCACAAAGUGCUGAUCCACAUAUAUGUCUGUGUGCUACAUUGUCUUAUAAUGUAGGUUCAGGUGCUCAGUCUUAGCAGUGACCGUGAUUUCCGAGUGUCUUUGCUUACAUUCCAUAGUUGGUUUGUCCUCAUGGUUCGAGGACCUAUAUUUGCAGCUUUCCAAUUUUUAUAGUGUUUUGAGUUUUACUUUCAGAUCAUUGCGAGUAAGUUGGGGGUCUGUCCCAAUGGCUCUCCAGUUGAGUAGUAGAGGCUUUAUCAAACUAGAUAGUCAGUUGAAGUUGUGUUCUAGACUAUCAGUAUUUUUGCUAUCCAGAUAUUAUUUCUAGUUAUUUUGGAUUAUAGUUGGCACAAUAAGGCAUCAUUGUUUAGAUUAUUUACACUGAAAUAGGAGUUAGAAGUAGUAACAUGCUCAAAGGGUUAGCCUAGGGCUACUUGUAGCCUUAAACAUUGUGUGACGUCUCGGGAUGAGAUUUCGGAGUGUUAUAAACUUGGUAUUAGAGUUUAAGGUUUAAGGAGUUCUAGGGUUUCUGACAAGCCGCAUUGAGUAGAGUCUUGAUCAUCGGUGUGUAGAGCGCCACAUCUAUGAGCAAGAGGCUACAAGACGUUUUAGAAAAAUGUUGUUUUUUUCUUUUAGGUUCUAUCGUGACUACAAUUAUCCCUCUCAUCUUAUAAUUCGUGCUCUCUUAUUUUUGAAAAUGCCUCCCAAAAGAGCUAACGCCCGCAAAACAAUAAUGAGCAACCUCAUCCUGUUGAUCCUUUGAAUGAGACCGUGUCUCAUGCUGAGUUUUGGGCGGCCUUUCAGGUGUUUGCCCAAGUAGUCAUAACAAAUGUUCAGGAUAAUAACCAGGACGCAGUUCCGAAUCGGCAGAAAGGUGAUUUAGCUGCUGCUAGGAUUCAUGAUUUCAUGCAGAUAAAUCCACCAGAGUUUUAUGGGUCUAAGGCAGGUAAAGACCCACUGUUAUAUCUUUAGGAGGUAAGGAAGAUCACACAAGUGAUGCAUGUUUCUGAGGAAGAAAGUGUUGAGCUAGCCUCUUACAGGUUUAAAGAUAUUGGUUAUGACUGAGUUGUAGCAUAAAGGAAGGGUAGAGGUAAUGAUGUUGCCCUAAUGACUUGGCAGGUGUUUCAAGGUGCAUUGUUGGACAAUUUCUUCCUGCUUGAGAUUAGGGAAGCAAAGAUUAAGGAGUUUAUAAACUUGAGACAGGGUUCCAUUACUCUUAAGGAAUACUGCCUUAAGUUUAAUCAGUUGGCCAAGUAUGCUCUUGAUUUAAUGGCUGACACCCGUACUAGUAUAAGUAAGUUUAUGACUAGUGUGAAUGGUUUGGUGCUAAAAGAGUGUAGGAAUGCUAUGCUUAAUAGGGAUAUGGUUCUGUCUAGAUUGAUGAUACAUACAUAUCAAAUAGAGGCAGACAAGAUAAGAAAGAGAGAUAGAGUGAGGGAUAACAAAAGGGCUAGAUCCGAGCAGCAUGAGUAUGGUCAGGUUAGGUCCCAUGGAAGGAACAACCCACAGUUCCAGAGUCGUUCGUCUAUGCCAGCGCCUUCAUCAGCUAGUGCUUCCGUGCUUAGAGGUAGGCAGGAACAAGGGAACAGGUCUUCUACGUCCUGGUCCCAAAAUAGUGUAAGUAAUAAACCUCGCUAUCCUCUAUGUACCAAGUGUGGUAGGGUCUAUCCCGGUGAGUGUUUAGCAGACCAGAGGGGUUGUUUUGGUUGUGGUAAGCUAGGCCACAGACUUAGAGAGUGUCCGCAUGCUAGGCAAUAGAACAAAGAUGCCUGACCUCAGACACAGACUACUAGUGCACCAUAUCGUCUAAUUCGAGUUAAGGAUUCUUACUUUGAAAGUCCUUCUUAGAAUCUAUCCCUGUGGUUAAUGAGUUUCCUGAAGUGUGAUGAUCUUUCUGGAAUUCCUCUCAAUCGUGAAAUAGACUUUGGGAUUGAUCUUCUGUCGGAUACUCAUCUUAUUUCUAUUCCUCCUUAUAGAAUGAAUUUGGUGGAACUAUAGGAGCUAAAGGAGCAGUUAAAAUAUCUUCUUGAUAAUGGGUUCAUUUGUUCUAGUGUUUCUCCGUUGGGUGCUCCUAUGCUUUUCAUUCAAAAGAUUGAUGGGUCCCUUCGAAUGUGUAUAGACUAUCAUCAGAUGAAGAAGUGACAAUGAGGAAUAAGUACCCUAUUCCUAGUAUUGAUAACCUUUUUGAUCAGCUUUAGGGGUGCUAGAUGCUUCUCUUAGAUUGAUUUUUUUUUGGGCUAUUAUCAAUCAAAAAUUUAGGAGGCUUAUAUUCCCAAGACUUAUUUCCAAACCUGGUAUGAUCACUAAGAGUUUUUGGUUAUGUCAUUUGGGUUGACUAAUGCUCCGGCUGCGUUUAUAGAUCUGAUGAAUUGGGUUUUCUGGCAGUUUCUGGAUUUGCUUGUUAUAGUCUUUAUUGAUGAUAUCUUGGUGUAUUUUAAAAGUAGGGAGGAUCGUGACAAUCACUUCCAAAUUGUGUUGUAGACCUUUAAGGAUCAGAAGUUGUAUGCUAAAUUUUCUAAGUGUGAGUUUUGGCUGAAUACUGUGACUUUUCUUGGGCAUGUUGUUUCUAGUGAGCAGAUCAAGGUGGAUCCAUAGAAAGUUGAGGCAGUUAAGAAAUGGCCUAGACCUGUGACUCUAACUGAUAUUAAGAGCUUCUUGGGUUUGGCUAGGUAUUAUUGGUGGUUCGUAGAUAUUUUUUCUUCUAUUACUACUCCACUGACAAGGUCAACUCAGAAAAAGGUAAUUUUUUAUAGUCCGAUACUUGUGAGGGUAGCUUUGAAAAGUUAAAGGAUAAGUUGACUUUGAUCCCAGUUUUGACCCUGCUUGAGGAUACAAAUAGUUUUAUUGUGUUUUGUGAUGCUGUAGGACUUGUUUGCGUCAUGAUGUAAUAUGGUACGGUUGUGUCCUAUGCUUCUAGGCAGCUUAAGGUUCAUAAAGAAAUUAUCUGGCUCCCGACUUAGAGUAUGUGGCUAUGGUUUUUCACUUUGAAGAUUUGGCGCCAUUAUUUGUAUGGGGUAUAUGUGGACUUUUAUUCAGAUCAUAAGAUCUUGCAAUAUGUGUUCACUCAGUAGGAAUUAGAUCUCAAGCAGAGGCGUUGGCUCUAAUUGCUUAAGCAUUAUGACAUGUGUCUUUACUACUAUCCAGGUAAAGCUAAUAUUAUUAGUGAUGCUCUUAGUAGGUUAUUUAUGGGGAACUUAUCCCAUGUUGAUAAGGAGAAAAAAGGAUUAGUCACAGACAUUUAUAGAUUGGCUCACUUGGGUAUUCAUUCUUUGGACUCUUAAGAUGGGGGAGUUAUUGUUCGAGAAAUGGUCAAAUCAAUUCUUGGAGCAGAUGUGAAGGAGGAGCAUACUUUGGAUCUCAAACUUAUGCAAAUUAAGGAUAAUGCAGGUCAAUAAAUAGUUAUGGCUUUCAAGAAUAGGGGAGAUGUCAUUCUGAGGUAAUAAUAUAGGUUGUGUGUUCCUGAUGUUGAUGAGUUGCGAAAAAAGAUUUUAGCUGAGGCUCAUAAGUCUAGGCAUACAGUUCAUCUGUGCUUUACUAAGAUAUACCAUGACUUGAAGAAGUUCUAUUAGCAGAAUAAUAUGAAAAAAGGGAUGUAGCAAAUUUUGUUGCUAAGUGUAUAGUUUGUUAGCAAGUUAAGGUUGAGCACUUUAGGCCUGGGGGCAUGUCUCAAGAGAUAGAGUUGCCCAUGUGGAAGUAGGAGAUGAUCAAUAUGGAUUUAUUAUAGGUCUUCCGCGGUUUUGCAAUAAGUAUGAUUCGAUUUGGUCCAUUAUGGUUAGAAUAACGAGUCUUGAAGACUCUAUACAAGUCAUUUAGUGUCAUCCGUAGCCAAACCAGUGAGGUCUCCCAAAGUUUCUUUCCUGAUCACGAUUGGUACCUAGCAAGUCGUAAGGUGUGGUCAUGAGUCAUAGGGAGGGACUCGUGACCAAACUAGUAGAAUAGCCAACAUUUUUAUCCUGAGUGUAACUAGGAACUUGCGCAUAAGGUAUGGUCACGAGUCGUAGGGUGUGACUUGUGACCAAACUAGUGAAGGCUUCCUUGAGUCACUGCCCAAACUAUGAGUCCAGAAAAGGACUUGUAUCCAGACAUCAUGAGUCGUGACGUGACUCGUAAUGAUUGGCGUUACUUUUUUUGUUUUGCACUUUUAAUUAAGGGUAAUUUGGUUAUUUUCCUCUUUCCCCUAUCAUAACCAUGACCUAAAAUACCCUCGGGGACCCUAUAACUCCCCAUUAUUUAAUAAUAAACUACUCUUUAAUCUCUCAAAUUCCCCAAGUCAAGAACAACUAGGGUUUCUGAAGAUUAAUCAUCUAGGCCUCUAAGAUUGGUUUCUUCUCCAUAACUCUUGACAUCUCAGGCAUGUAUCUCUUAAAUUUUUUUUGUGAAAAGUAUGUGUUUAAAAUAUAAUUAAUUGAUGGUUUUGGAAAUUGGGUUGAGGGUCCUUGAAUGUUAUUGAUGGAAUUGUUUUUCCCAUGAGUUUUGUGAAUUAUUCAUGAUUUGAAUUGAUAGUUUUGAAACUAAUUAAGUACAUAGGAAUGGAAAUUAGUAUGGGGCUCAUGGAUUCCCCUAAAUAAAUAAAUUUUGGAAUUAGAAUUGGUAACAACCUCAACCCAACCUUAUGAAAUUGGCUUUGAAAUAUGAGUAUAUGCAUGUUGAAACUACUUUUGGAACUAUUGCAUGAUAUAGAAGGUUAAUGAAACAUAAUGGUUUUAAAUUGAACCAUAGGGAUCAUGGAUUCCCUCAAGCUAAUGAAUAGUUGAACCUUGGGGGUUGUGGAUUUCCCCAAGUUAAUGAACAAUUGAACCUAGGGGGUCAUAGAUUUUCCUCACGUGGAUGAAUAAUUGGAGCUUGUGGGAUCAUGGAUUCCCGCAAGUAAUGAUAAUUGAAAUGACAUAAUGAUAUUAGCUGGAAAAUGUAUUGGUAUGACGAUACCAACAAUUUAUGCCUUCAUGGAUGAUCAUAGUUCAAUGAAUAGGAAUGUGUAAAUAUUUUAAUUGGGCUUAAAGGGGGUUAUGUAGUUGAGCCGUGAAAGUAAAGGUACCGAGGAACUGAUAUGGGGAACCCAUAUUUUUUGGUGUGAAGAUUGGUUUUGAUUACCAUAUGCUUGUGUCACACUUUAUAUAUUUGUAUCUUGGAUUGGCAAAGGGUCGUGGAUUCCUCGACCUCCCUUGAUACUCCAGUUCAUGAGGAUAACAUGCACUAGGACCCUUUUAGUAGAGCAAGAGCUGGACCUAUAUAGCCCAUGUGUAUAGAUGAUAGUUUGAGCUAUACAGACUAGGUUAGUAUUUUAACUCUCAUACUAAACCUUAUUCCCCGCCCUGGUAUAUUAUAUUUAUAUGUAUAUGAUUGUGUACAUAUAACUUUGGAUUGAUUGAUCAUGGUAUUAGUUUAACCCUUCCCUGAGGUACAUGCUAGUGCUCACCCCUCUAACCAUCCUUGGAUGCUGUAUCCCCAUGCGAUGAAGGGUUUAAAGACACUUCUAUUUCCUUACAAAGUGGUGGGUAAUUACUGGAUUGUCUAAGAGUCAACUUUAAAGUAGUGAGCUUCCAUUCUCCUGAAGGCCCUCAUUUUAUGGUCCUGUAUUUACUUAUGUCUUAGACUAUUUCGAUAGGUUUCUGGCUAUGGUCGGGGGAAUAUCUUGACUUUGGUUGAUGUUUGGUUUCUUAUUGGAUUUUGUGGAAAAUAAAAUAUGGGUGGAUUUGGUGUAGGGGAUUCUUAGAUCCUUUUCAAUUUAUUUAUCUAUCUUGUUAUAUGUUCAGAACUCAGCUCUAUCUCGUUAUAAGUCUAAAACUCAGCUCUAUCUUAUCAUAUAUUCGUGACUCAAUCGCUGUUAGUUGUAUUAUGUUUUGGUUGGCUAGGUUAAUAAGGGUGGUGUUCAGUCCUUGGAGAACUUGUGAUAUCCAUCGUGAUUAGGUCCUAGUUUGGGUCAUGACAAGCUUGGUAUCAGAGCCUAAGUUCAUGGUCAUUAGGUGUUCACAAAAUCGAGUAAAUUAGUCUCUUUUAUGGGCAUUUAGCGUGCCACACUUAUGAGGGAAAGACUAUAAGACAUUUAGAAAUGUUUCCCUUUCUUGUGUUUUAUUUUCAGGUUAUAAAUUCUAGGGCAUUGAAAUCUCCUCUAAUUUCAUUUUUUUGUAUUUUAGAUCAUUCCUCCCCAAAGAUCUAAUGCUCGUGGAAACUCCUCUGUCCCAUCUCUGGACAAUAUUGAUGGAACUCAUUCUACUUAUACAGUACAAACCUGGUCUAGGGUUCCUGCUCCUGACUGCCUACAUGGAGUUCCACUAGUCCCUACUAGUCCUCCUUGGGCUUCUUGGGCUGAUGAUAUUUAUGCCCCACUACCCCAAGGAGAUAUUUCUAAUGCCGAAUUCCAUAGAUUUAUUUAUCUGCUGACUCAAUUGGUGACUUCUCAGUACCGUUAGGUUGACCGUGUUGGUUCUGUUUCUCUAUUUUCUGAGUUUACUAGAAUUGGUCAGUUUAUGAGGUUGAAUCCCCCAACCUUUACAGGCUCUAAGGUGUAGGAGGAUCCUCUAGGGUUUGGUUAUGAAAUAAAAAGGAUAUUCAGGGUGAUGCAUACUACUGAUGUGGGUAGUAUGGAAUUUACUGUAUAUUAGUUGAAGGAUGUGGCAUAUCAGUGGUAUGACGAGUAGGAGCAGUCGAGAAAUGAUGAUUCUGAGCAAGCUGUGUAGGAGGAGUUUUCUGGUGCUUUCCUUAAUUAUUUCUUUCCUUAAGAGUUAAGGGAGGCCAAGGCUGAAGAGUUUGUAAACUUGAGACAAUGUAGGAUGAGUGUAAAGAAAUAUGCAUUGAAGUUCUAUUAGUUGUCUCAUUAUGCUCCAGAAUUGGUGUCUAGUAUAAGGGCUAGAAUAAGGAAGUUUGCUUCUGGUUUGUCUCGGGACUUAGUACUAGAGUGUAAGGCUGCAAUGCUGAAUAAUGACAUGGAUAUCUCUAGGCUUGUAAUUUAUAUAUAGUAGGUUGAGGAUGAGAAGAAAAAACAACCAAAGAUUGAGGAAAGACAAAAGUAUGAAGUUCAGGUAUUCAGAGCAGGGUGGAGGCCAACUGAACAAUGGUAGAAAUGGUAGGCCGUAGGGAAAUAAGAAGACUUGGGGAAAAUUUCAUUUAUAUUCAAUGGAUAGUGCUCCUUAUCUUAAGUUGUUUGGUGGUCGUUGCUUCUAGGCUGAUAUUUGUUUUAAGGCACAGGGUGCCCAGUCUCAGGCUAGUGGAGCUUAGUUAGCCGCACCUUAUUCUCUCUGCAGAUUUUAUAGGUAGAUGUAUCAUGUAGUUUGUGUUGAAGGGAGGAAUAGGUGUGAUAAUUAUGGUAAGCUAGGGCAUUUGCAGCGAUACUGUCCAUCUAAGGUUGCUUCUGGAGCUAAUGAGGUCUCUAUUGCUACUUUGUCAGCUCCUGCACUAAAGGGUACUACUUCUGGUACCGGCACUGGCCGAAAUCGACUCUAUGCACUUACCACCCUUUAGGAAACUGAGGCAUCUCCUAAUAUCGUUACUCAUAUGUUAAAACUUUUCUCUCUUGAUGUAUAUUGUCUGCUUGAUCUAGGUUCUACCCUUUCUUAUGUGAUUAUUUUGGUUUUGGUCCCAAGGGUAUUUUUGAGCCUUUCUCUAUGUGUACCCCAGUGGGUGAUUUUAUCGUGUCUAGAAAAGUCUAUAGGGGUUGUCUAAUGUCUAUCUUUCAUAAGGAGACAUUGGUGGACCUGAUAGAGUUGGAUAUUGUAGACUUUGAUGUGAUCUUGGAGAUGAAUUGGCUUCAUUCAUGCUAUGCUUCUCUUGAUUGCAGGACCCAAAAGGUUAGUUUCCAAUAAUCAGGUGAGCUUGUGAUUUAGUGGGAAGGGAGUUCCCUAGUACCUAACAGAAGGUUUAUUUCUUGUCUUAGAGCUUGAAAGUUGAUUUCUAAGGGGUGUCUGUAUCAUUUAGUUUGUGUUAUGGAUUUUAAUUCUGAGGGUCCCUCGUUGCAAUCUAUCCCUGUAGUGAAUAAGUUUCCUGAAGUGUUCCUCGAUGAUCUUCCUGGUAUUUCUCCCAUUAGGGAAAUAGCAUUUGGGAUCGAUCUUCUACCAUAUACCCAUCCUAUCUCUAUCCCUCUUUAUAGAAUUGCUUCGUCUGAGUUGAAAGAAUUAAAAAAGCAAUUAAAGGAUCUUCUAGGUAAGGGUUUUAUUUGCCCUAACGUUUUCCCAUAGGGUGCUUAUGUGUUUUUCGUAAGAAAGAUGGGUCUCUUCAGAUGUGUAAUAGACUACCGUCUGUUGAAUUGGGUGACUGUGAAGAAUAAGUACCUUCUUCCUAGAAUUAAUGACCUAUUCAUCAAGCUUCAGGGUACUAGAUGCUUUCUUAAGAUUGAUCUUCGGUUGGGUUAUCAUCAGUUGAAGAUUAGGGAAGCAGAUAUCCCUAACACUGCUUUUCGUAGUCGGUAUGGUCACUAUACAUUCUUGGUCAUGUCAUUUGUAUUGACUAAUGGCCCGAUGACAUUUAUGGAUCUUAUGAACCGGGUGUUUAGGCAGUUCCUGGACUUGUUUGUUAUUGUGUUUAUUGUCGAUAUCUUGGCAUAUUCUAAGUGCGAGGAGGAUCAUGCAGGAUCAUGCCAAUCACCUCCAAGUAAUGUUACAGACUCUUAACGAUCAAUAAUUGUAUGCCAAGUUUUUGAAGUGCGAGUUUUUGUUGAAUGUUGUGACCUUUCUCGGUCAUGUUAUUUAUAGUGAGGGGAUCAAGGUGGAUACACAGAAGGUUGAGGGGGUUAGAAGUGGCCUAGACCCACGACUACAACCGACAUUCAAAACUUAUUGGGUUUAGCCGGGUAUUAUAAGAUUUUUGUGGAGAGUAUUAUGGUAAGAUUGAUUGACCUGCUCACUUCUUGCCUGUGAGGACUACCUAUUCUGGAGAGUAUUAUGGUAAGAUUUUUAUUCAGAAGAUCAUCAAGUUACAUAGUGCUCCACUUUCCGUCAUUUUGUAUAGAGGUACGUGGUUUUUAUCUCACUUUUGCCAUUUAUUUCAAAGAGGUUUGGGCACUAAGGUGAACCUUAACACCACUUUCUCCCUCAGACAGUGCAUAAACAAAAAGGACUAUUCAUACUUUGGAGGAUAUGCUAAGGGCCUGUGUAAUUAACUUUGGUGGUAGUUGGGUUGAUCAUUUUCCUCUCUUUGAAUUUUUGUAUAGUAACAGUUAUUAUUCUAGCAUUGGGAUGACUCCUUUUGAAGCUCAUUAUGGUAGGGGGAGUAGAUCUCCUAUCGGGUGGUUUGAGGUUAGCGAGAAUAAAUUGUUAGGUUUGGACUUGGUUCAAGAAGCCAUGGAGAAGGUGAAGGUGAUUAGAGAAGGCAUAAGACCGCUCAUAGUCACCAAAAGUCCCAUGUGGAGUGAGGCGAAGAGAGUUGGAGUUUGAUAUUGGUGAUUGGGUAUUCUUGAAGGUGUCUCUCAUAAAGGGAGUGACAAGGUUAGAGAAGAAGGAAAAGCUUAGUCCCUGAUAUGUGGGCCCAUAUUUGAUUUUAAGGAGAAUGGGUAAUGUUUCUUGCGAGUUAGAAUUACCUUCAAGUUUGGGUUCCAUCAAUCCAAUUUUCCAUGUUUUUAUGUUGAAAAAGUGCGUGGGUGAUUCUUCUUUGAUCAUGAAUAUUAGAAGUGUUGGUAUUUCAGAUUCCUUAUCUUAUGAGAAAGUCCCAAUGGAGAUUUUUGAUAGACAAGUUUGUCAUUUGAGGACUAAGGAUGUGGCUUUGGUGUAGGUUCUAUGGAGGGACCAAAAGGUUUAAGAAGCUACUUGGGAAGCUGAAGAGGCCAUGAAGUCCAAGUAUCUGUUCUUAUCCCCUGCACUGGAUGUUACAUUCUCCUGACACUAGAAGCUGAAGAGGCCAUAAAGUUCAAGCUACUUUGGAUGAAUGAUCCUAGGGGGAGAAUGUAACACCCCAAGUUUUGAUCCCUGAAAAUUUUUGGGAUUUGGGCUCACUGCCCAGGGUACAACUUUGUCACGAGUAGUGAAGACUCUAUACGAGUCGUAUAGUGUCAUCCAUAGCUAAACUAGUGUAGGUUCCUUAAGUUUUUGUACUGAUCAUAAUUAGUACCUAAUGAGUCGUGGAGAGGGACUCAUGACCAAACCAGUGGAAUAGCCAAUGUUUCUAUCCUGUGUAUGACUAGGACCUCACGAACCAUAAGGUAUGGUCACGAGUCGUAGGGUGUGACUCAUGACCCAAACUAAUGAAGAAUGCCCCGAGUCACUGACUAUACUCUUAGUCUAGUCAAGGACCCAUAUCCAUGAUCACGAGUCGUGACGUGACCCAUAACGACUUGCAUUAUUUUUUUUGCAUUUUUAAUUGAGGAUACUUCAGUUAUUUCCCUCUUUCCCCAAUAAUAACUCACGACCUAGAAUACCUAGGGGACCCCAUAGCUCCCCUUAUUCAAUCAUAAACUACUCUCUACUCUUUUAAAUUCCCCAAGUCAAGAACAACUAGUGUUUAUCAAGGUUGAUCAUCUAGGGCUUUAAGAUUGGUUUCUCCUCUGUGACUCUUGAUAUCUCAGGCAUGUAUCUCUUCCCUUAAACUUGUUUUGUUAAAAGCAUGUGUUUAAAUUGUUAGUCAUAUGAUUAAUUGAUGGUUUUGGAAAUUAUGUUGAGGGUCCUUAUAUGUUAUUGAUGGUAUUGUUUUUCCCAUGACUUUUGUGAAUUAUUCAUGAUUUGAAUUGAUAAUUUUAAAAUUAAUUGGAUGAAUGGGUAUGGGAAUUGGAAUGAGGGUCGUGCAUUUUGGUGACUUCCAAGGUACACCUCAUUUCUAAAGAUGACACGGUCGCUGCCAAUUAUAGUAACCCAACAAUGGUUGGGGUCGAAUCCCAAGGGAAUAUGUGGAAUCGUGGCUCUCAUCUAUUAUAAUCAAUGGGCAAAACUGGAAAAGUAAAUGGGGGGAGGUUUGAGUAGCAAUAUCGAACUAGUAGAAAAUACCAACUUCGGUUGUAAUCAUUCGUAAGUGAACACUAGGAUUGUGUUCCGCCUGGCUUCUCAACUCUGUAGGUUUAUAGUGUUUUGUUGAACCAACCCGAUAUCUUGUAUGUAGAAUCAAUAAGUUAUGUACCUUCUACAGUCUUUUGGACGAGCCAAAGGAUAUCACCCUUUACCUUUUGGGUCUUAGGAUGUUGCCUUACUAACCCUUAUCUUGAUCCAGUUAACUAUUACCUUUUGAGUCUCUAGCUAUUAGAUGAAAUCUAACCAUCUUACGUAGAUAAAACUUAUAAGUGUGGAUCGAAAGUUAAACUCCAAAUUACUGUUGUCAUUAUCUUUUUUCUAGUCACUACUCCUCUUUUGGAGUAAGUUGCAAUAAUUUAGGUAGGAUUCUAACAUGUGCACCCGUUAAGAAAAAUAUUAUAUUAAAGAUAAAGCAAUGCAUGCAUGGGUAUCGAUUCUGAACAAUAAUAGCACUUCCCCUACUUUGUCAAUCUACCAGCGUUUCCACAACCCUAGAUGUGGGUUUUUAACCUCUCUUGCUUGUAAAGUGAUCAACAACAUUCAUGAUUGAAGGCAUAAGAUGAAAUCACAAUAAGAAGUAAAAACCCCAAACCAUAACUGAAUUAAUCAACUAAAGUCCAUACAAGAGAAUUCCAAGACUAAGAUCGAAUCUUGGAAUCAAAAUACAUUUGUAAGUAUCAAGAGUGCAUAAAUUUUAGUAAAAAACACAUAAGGGGUAUUUAUAGUACAUGAGGAAACCCUACAACCAAAGCCCAAACUAAAUAAGAGAAAAAAAGGUCGGUGGCUACUUAUGGUCCCUAUAUGCGCCCUAGCCCUAGGUGCAUGUGCUACAUGCAGCUUGUAGGCAGGGCCCAUGAAGUGACCGCAUGUGCUAGGACCAAAAAAUCCUGCAGGUCAGCUCUCUGGAUUUAGGACUUCUGACACUUGAUUUUCCCACAUGCGGUCUCCAUGUGCUACAUGUGGUCUGCAUUUUGACUUGGCAUGUGCCGAAAGUCAUUUUUCAGCUCCUCUUUAAUUUCUAUACAUUCUUUGGUCACGAAUAAUCCAAAAAGUGUCUUGAACAUCCACAAUUGCUCCCAUAAGUAGCCAAAAUUAACUUUUUCAUCAUUUUCACGGACUUAGCAUCCGAAACAUGAUUUCCUGUAAAACAUACCCAGAAUGUAUCAUGUCUAACAAAAUAACCUCAGAAACUUAGAUAUUUUUCUCGUUUUAAGUAUCGAAAGUGCUAUAUUCCUUUAGCAUAUCAGAUUCCCCCAAAUAAAUGAAUUUUGGAAUUGGAAUUUGUAAUAACUUCAACCUAACCUUAUGAAAUUGACUUUUAAACAUGAGUAUAUACAUAUUGAAACUACUUUUUGAACUAUUGCAUGAUAUAGAAGGUUAAUGAAACGUAGUGGUUCUAAAUUAAACCUUGGGGGUCGUGGAUUCCCCCAAUCUAUUGAAUAAUUUAAUCUUAGGGGUCGUGGAUUCCCCCAAUCUAAUGAAUAAUUGAACCUAGGAGGUCUGGAUUCUUCCAUAUGGACAAAUUACUUGAGCUUAUGGGGUAGUGGAUUCCCUCAAGUAAUGUUAAUUGAUAUGACACGAUGAUAUUAGCUUUUAAGCAUAUUGGUAUGACGAUACCAAUAAUUUAUUCCUUAAUGGAUGAUCAUGGUUGAAUGAAUGGGAAUGUGUAAAUAUGCUGAGCCGUAAAAUUAGAGGUCCCGAGGGAUUGAUACUGGGAACCCACGUUUGCCGGCGUGAGGGUUGGUAUUGAUGACCAUUUGCUUUUGCCACACUUUAUAUAUUUGUAUCUUGGAUUGUUGAAGGGUCAUAAAUUCCCCGAAUUUCCUUGAUACCCCCAUUCAUGCAGAUAACACACUGGGACCCUUUCAGCAUGGUAAAAUUUGGACCCAUAUAGCCCUUGGGUAUAGAUGACGAUUUAGCUGCAUAGUCCAGGUUAGCAUUUUAACUAUCAUGCUAAACUUUGUUCCCUAUCCUGAAAUAUUAUAUAUAUAUAUAUAUAUGUAUAUGAUUGUGUGCAUAUGGAUUUGGAAUGAUUGAUCAUGACAUUAUUUUAUCCCUUCCCCGAGUUACAUGCUAGUGCUCACCCCGCUAAUCGUCCCUGAAUUUUGUAUCCCCAUGCGAUGUAGGGUCUGAAAACACUUAUAUUUCCUUGAGAAUUGGUAGGUGAUUUCUAUAUUGUUCGAGAUUUGUCUUUGAAGUGGUGAGAUUUUAUUCUUCAAAAGGCCCUCAUUUUAUGGUCUUGUCUUUACUUAUGUCUUAGACUAUUUUGGCGGGUUUUGGGCUAUGGUUAAGGGCAUAUGUGCCGACUUUGGUUGAUAUUUGGUUUCUUAGAGGCUUUUAUAGAUAACAGGACAUGUGUGGAUGUGGUAUUAUGGAUUCUUAUAUCCUAUUUAUUUGUUUUAUUGUCAUGACCCGAUGCUACCCCCUAGUCGUGACAACGGUGCUUAUGGUCACAAUUGACCAUAAGCUAAACCAUGAGUUGUUACCUGCUGUGAGCACUGAAUAAAAUGGCAAUAAAAUAUGUACAUAGAAUAUAAACUAAUAAGUUCAAAAAUAUAUCUAAAUAUUGUGAGCGUAAUUUAAUCACAAGUCUAUAAACUUCUGAUAACAAUACUAAAAACACAAGUGAUAAUACUGAUAAACUGACUAGCUGUCUAUCUGACUAUCUGAAUGUCUGAAAUCCUCUAAACUGACUGAGGAGUUGAUGGGACAGACCCCAAUAAACUUAAACUGACUAAUGAAAAGAAAUGCAAAAAUAAUAGUACAAACAAUAUAGGUCCUCGAUAGAUGAGGACUCACCAAUACUGCUGCAGCUGAAGUGCUAAACUAUUUAAGAACAGUCGAGAAACUGAGCAUCUGAACCUAUACUAUAAAAAAUCACUGCGUAAAGAAGAGUAUGUGAUCAGUACUUUGAAUGUACUGGUAUAUGAGAUGAGGUUAGGCUAGUAUACAUGGGUUACUAUACAUAUGAAAUAUGGAAUAAAUAAAUGGCAUGAUAUAACAAAAUAUGAAUGCAUGACAACUAAAAUAUCUGAGAAUGCACGACCAAGCAUAUAUAUAUAUAUAUACAUUUUUGAAAUAAUUUGUAAGCUGAAUUACUGAAAUUUGAUAACUGAAUAACUGGUAAUCUGUAUGCUUUCGUCAACCAAACCUGAAAUGAAUUCUGUACUGAAUACUGAACUGAGACUGUAAGAGGUAUCAUCUACCUGACAUGCCGCAAUCUAAGCUAAACGGGGUCCAACCUGUAACCCUAGUUAGAAGGGUGUCAGUACCGUGCCAUGGGUAAUAACACAUGGAUGUGUGGAUACACUCAACUGGUGUCCUGAAGGACUGAGGAGUAAGUCCUAAACUGGCGCGUGAACCUUAAGAGAAAGUUAGUCCUAAAUUGGUGGGUGACAUAUCAUAAUCCUACGUUGGCUACAUAGUUUUGGAACUUAGGGACUGCUUUUAAGGACCCAGUCUUAGCUAGUGGGUGAGCCUUCAUCCCUAGGUUUGCUUAGUACUAAAUCCCACUCCCAACUGAACUAACACUAAUUACUGGACUGAACUAAGCUUAACUGAACAAAAAAUUUAUCAUAAUAACUAACUGAAUGAUAAUGCUCAUGGUAUAUCUAAAAUUAUUCUAAAGAUACUGAAAUUAUGUAAACAACUAGGUAUCGGGUGUUCAUAUCCCAUCAACACUGAAUGGAAAUAAAAAUAAGUACAUAUAAAAGAUUUGAAACCAUAGUAGGGAAUCAUUGUUCAAAAUCCAACACUUAGGCAUUUGAUGUUGGUUGUAUUUAUGCAUUCUAGUGUCACUAUUCUAGUCUUUUUAGCUUGUUUUGAGGAUAAUUCAUGUUCUUAAUGUGUUGAUAAUGAUAUAAAUAUGAAUUUAAGUGUCCAUGUAUGCGUUUACAAUGUUUAAUGGUGUUUUCAUAUGAGUUUUGAUUUAAAUUGAUUAUUUAGAAUUCAAUUGAGGAAACUAGUGUGACUAGCUUGAGCUAGGUUUUUGUCUAGUCCAUCGUGUCGGGUUCUAAUGUUUUUAAUAAGAUUCUAAGGUUUUUAAUUUGUAUUUAUAUGUAAAAUAACUUGAUUAUCAUGUUCAAGGGUCAAUUGUAUCAAAACAAGAGUCAAAACAAUAAGCUUAAGCUCGAUGUGAAUUUGGCCUAUGCUUAGCUCGUGUUUCUAGUUUGUCGUGUUGGAUGUUGUGUUGUUUUGAUAUUUAAAUUGUUAUGUUUGAUGAUAUAGGAUACUUGGUGAAUGUAUUAUGAUGAUAUAUGAAGGAUAUAAAAGCUUCAAAUCAAGUGAAAACAACUCAAAAAGGCUUGGAAUGGAUCACGAAAGCACAAUACGCAACUUGGCGCAAAUUUGGACACAUGAAAUGUCCAGGGAUAGUGACGGCACAUGGGAAGGCAUUUUGGCGCGUUCUACACACCAAAAGACUUUGAAGGGACCCCAAACAGUAUGUAAGUGUGAUAUACAUGCGUCUCAUGCUCUAUUACUAUGCCCCAUUUCAUUAAACACUUGAGAGACAAGAACUUAAACAUGGGAAUGGAUAAAUCACGUGAUAAUAACAUAGUUACAAUACUAAAACCAUGAAUUAAGUUUUUAAAUGACAAGAGUUCAGUACUCAAAACAUGCAAUGGCUCAUUCUAUCGAAAACACGUGUAAUCAUAACUUGAAAUCAAAUUAUCAAGAUGUCCAUGGGCAUAAUUCAACUAAAUUUUGUAGAAUUCAAAAUUUAAAACAUAAAAAAGGAUUCUUGGACUCCAUGUGUGAAAAGGGCCCAUGGAUGAACAUCACACAUACCUUAAACCCUUAAGCUUGAAAGAUAAACACCAAUAUUGAUGCUUUCUUGAAUGUUCUUGGAUUGGGCAGCUUGAAUCCUUGGUUUUCUUAGGGAGAAAGUAAUGGAAUUUGAUGAUCUUGGGGGAGGAAAGGGUUUGUUUUUGCGAGAAAAUUGGAGAAAAUGAGCAAAUAAUUCCCUAACUGGUUUUAUAAUUAGUGAUUUAAUAAAUUGAGUUUAGGGGAAAAGAUAUAAUUACCCCCCAGGCAAUUAAAUUUGUAACUGAAGUGCGUUUUACAUGCUCACCGCUAUGCGGUGUACGUGCCAUUUCAAUAAGCACCGAAGACCUGUAGCAAUGAUCUACUAGAAUCGUGAUCCAAAUAAGACCCAAUCUUCGUUUGAAAAAUCCAAAACUUCUCUGAGACAUGCACUUUACACCCCUAAACAUGAAUUAACUCAAAAACCAACGUCUCAAGGUCGGGAAGACCAAUUUAAAAACCCUCAAAGUUAAGAGGCCUUAAAAAUGACUAUGUCCCCAACACUUCGUGAAAUUUUCAGGUUUUAAGCCUUUUAUGCAUGCAACUAGGUGCUAAACUGAGCUAAGAAUAAUACUGAGUAUUACAAUAUCUCUUUCUUAGGAAUAUUCGUCCCUGAACGAGACUGAUUAGGCCAAGAGUUCUGACGUAAGGCAAGUGAGAUCACAUACUGAACAUACACAACUGGAAAUAUGAUUACAUGACUGAGUCUGAAACAUGAUACAUGACUGAACUGAUUUUGUGAAUGCAUGCAAUGAAAUGAGAUAGAUUACAUAUCUGAAGCUAAGAACUGAAGAGAGUCGAUCCGAGGAUAAUUAUUACCUUAAGCUGAGUUUGAGGUUGCGAAGAAAAGAUGAGGGUACUUGGUACGCAUAUCUGUUUCUGCUUCCUAAGUGGCUCCCUCAACGGAUUGAUUCCCCCAAAGAACUUUGUCCAAGGGAACUUCUUUAUUCCUUACUCUUCGAAUCUGACGAUCAAGGAUCUUGACUUAGAUUUCUUCGGAAGAAAGGCUAUCCUGAACAUCUGUGCUUUCUAAAGGAACUACAAUAGCUGGAUCACCCAUACACUUCUUUAAUAGGGAAACAUAAAACAAUGGAUGCACUAAUGCGAAAUCUGCAGGUAACUCAAGCUUAUAAGCUACUUUUCCAAAAUGACUCUAAAUUCUAUAAGGACCAACAUAUCGGGGACUAAGCUUCUCCUUCUUGCCAAAUCUCUUCACUCCCUUUAUGGGAGAGAUUUUCAAAUAUACCAAGUCCCCAAUUUCAAACUCAAGAUCUCUUCUUCUCAGAUAUGCAUAGGAUUUCUGAUGACUUUGGGCUAUCUUAAGCCUCUUCCUAAUCCACUGAACCUUCUCCUUUGCAUCAAACACUAAAUCUGGUCCUAUCAAAGUAGCCUCACCUGCCUCAAACCAACCACUAAGAGAUCUAUAUCUCCUCCUAUAGAGAGCCUCAAAUAGAGCCAUCUAAAUACUGAAGUGAUAACUCUUUUUGUAGGAAAACUUGAUCAAAGGUUAGUGAUCAUCCCAAUUACCCUUGAAAUCAAGAACACACACCUUCAACAUAUCCUCUAGGGUUUGAAUGGUCCUCUCUGCCUAACCCUCUGUUUGAGGAUCAAAAGUUGUACUGAGAUAAAAUUGGGUACUCAGACCCUUCUAAAAAUCCUUCCAAAAGUGAGAGGUAAACUAAGUGCCUCUAUCUGAAAUGAUAGACAACGAGACUCCAUGCAACCUAACCAACUCUCUAAUAUAGAGCUUGGCAUAAUCCUCGGCUGAAUAAGAAGUAUGAACUGGUAAAAAAUAAGUUGAUUUGGUCAUUCUAUCUAUAAUUACCUAUAUCGAAUCAUACUGACGACGCGUACGAGGCAAAUCCAUCAUAAAAUCAAUGUUCACCUCUUCCUACUUCCAAGUGGGAAUGCUGAAAUCUUACGAUAUGCCAUUAGUCCUCUGGUGCUCAACCUUAAACUACUGACAAUUAGAACUCUUAGCUACAAACUCUACAAGAUCCCUCUUCAUACUGCUCCACCAUUAGAUUAACUGCAAAUCAUGGUACAUCUUUAUGGCUCCUCGGUGUAAAGAGUAACACGCACCAUGUGCUUCUACCGAAAUCGCUGUCGCAAACCAUCAAAACAUAACACACACAACCUAUCCUGACAUCGCAACACACCAUCUCCCUAUUGGGACAAAACCUAUACUUUCUGAUCUCUAACAGUUUUCUUCAACUUAACGAGACUGGAAUACUUAUCUUGCUUUUCUUUCACUUCGGCAACCAAAGAAGAUUCCGAACAAUUCUAAACCGAUAUACUUCCCUCAGCUGAAUCAACCAACUGAACACCUAAUCUAGUAAUCUGAUGAACCUUUCUGACUAACUUUUUCUUAUCAUCCUCAACAUGAGCAACACUACCUAUAGACAAUCUACUAAGGGCGUCUUUCACUAUAUUAGCCUUGCCCGGAUUAUACAACACACUUAUAUCAUGAUUUUUUAACAACUCAAUCCACCUUUUAUAGAUGAAGAUUUAAAUCUCUCUGUGAAAAUACAUACUGCAAACUUUUAUGAUCCGUGAACACAUCAACAUGAACUCUAUAUAGAUAAUGUCUCCAAAUCUUCAAAGCGAAUACAACAGCUGCUAAUUUAAGAUCAUGGAUAGGAUAAUUCCUUUCAUGGGGAUCAAGCUUUCCAGAGGCAUAGGCUAUGACCUUACCCCUCAGCAUCAAUAUAUAACCAAGACCAACUCUGGAAACAUAACAAUAAACUACAAACCCAUCUGAACCAUCUGGCAAAGUCAAGACUGGGGAUGAGAUGAGUCGAGUCUUCAAUUCUUGAAAACUCUUCUCGUAAGAAUCUGACCACCGAAACUUGACCUUCUUCUGAGUCAAUCGAGACAUGAGGGAUGCAAUAGAUGAAAAACAUUUAAUAAACCAUUUGUAAUAGCUAGCCAAACCCAAGAAACUACUAAUAUCGAUGGAGAGAUAGUUUUGGGCCAGUUUCUCACUGCUUUGAUAUUUUAAGGGUCAACUCUAUUGCUAUCACUAGAAAUAAUAUGGCAAAGUAAAGCUAGUGAUCUUAGCCAAAACUCACACUUACUGAAUUUGGUAAACAUAUGAUGGACUGUAAGAGUCUGCAAUACAAUUCUGAGAUGGUAUGCAUGAUUAUUUUCACUACGUGAGUAGACCAGAAUAUCAUCAAUGAAGACUAUGACGAAUAUGUCAAAGUACUGCCUGAACACUUUAUUCAUCAAGUCAAUGAAAGUUGCUAGGGCAUUUGUUAGUCAAAAGAUAUAGCUAGAAAUUCAAAGUGACCAUUCCGAGUUCUGAAGGCUGUCUUCGAAAUGUUACAUUCUCUGACUCUAAGAUGAUGAUAGUUAGAUCUGAGGUCUAUCUUAGAGAAAUAGCUGACACCCUGAAGUUGAUCGAAUAAGUCAUCAAUCCUGGGGAGUGGGUACUUAUUCUUGAUUAUGACUUUGCUGAAUUGACGGUAAUUGAUACAUAUUCUUAGAGAAAUAUCUUUCUUACGCAGGAAAAGGACUGGAGCGCCCCAUGGGGAAAUACUAGGCCUAAUAAUUCCCUUACUUAAGAGUUCUUUUAACUGUUCUUUCAACUCUUUUAGCUCAGCUGGAGCCAUUCUAUAGGGUGGAGUAGAGAUAGGCUGGGUAUUUGAAAGAAGAUCUAUUCCGAUAUCAAUUUUUCUUUCAGGAGGAACUUCGAAAAGAUCUUCAGGGAAAACGUCUGGAAAUCUGAAACUGACUCAAGAUUUAGUGUCGUAGAAUUAGAGUCUUUGACUCGAAUAAGAUGGUACAUGGACCCUUUGGAUAUCAUUUUUCUUACCUUAAGAUAUAAAAUAAUCUAACCCCUAAGAACUAAAUUACUACCUCUCCAUUCAAUAUUUGGUUUAUUAGGGAGCUAAAACUGAACGAACCUAUUCUUACAGUCAACUGAAGAGUUGCACGAGUGGAGCCAAUCCAUGUCGAGAAUGACAUCAAAAUUAGUCUUUUCUAACUCUACAAGAUCAGCUGACGUAACUCUCUAAAAUACUAUAAUUGGACAAUUUCUAUAUACCCAUCAGGCUAUGAUCAAUUUACCUACUAGGGUAGACACUGAGAAAUUCUUUACUAAUAUUUUUAGGCUAACACCAAAAUUAAUAGCUAUAUGGGGGGUUACAAAAGAAAGUGAGGCUUCAGGGUCUAGUAAAAUAUACAUAUGAAGAUGAAAAACCUAUAACAUCUUGUAACUACAUUAGGAGAGCUUUCCUGAUCUUGUCGGGACUGAAGUGCAUGCAACCUAUUUUGGUGCUAUGCUCUGAUGGCACUGGAAGUAGCGCCCUGCUAAGACGGGUGACCUGCUGGAGCUGAUGACAAAUUAGACUCACCUUGUUACACUCUCUGACCCUGUGGCCUGGCUAUCCAUCACUAAAACAUACAUCACUACCAGUUGUGUACAUACCUUGAUGAUUUCUACCAUAUUUCUAGAAAAGUGGAUUAGUACGACUACUGUUCAUACUAUGCAGGGACUUGGAGCCUGGUGCCCUAUCUCGACUGUUAUUUAUGAAUGUUGGCACUAACGUACUAGUUGAACUCAGAGCUGAAGCUGAAAAUUUUUGAUGGAACUAGGAAUAUUUACCACCUUUUGUCCUCGACUGAGAAAAGUUACUGCUACCUAUUCUGGCCUUUUUAUUCUCUCUAUCUUUUCUCCUUAAGCUUUUGUUCCUCAAUCUGUUGAGCAUGAACUAUAAGCCUAGAUUGGUCCAUCUCCUUAAUCAACAUAGUAGUACUACACUCCUUGACGACAUUAUCAGCUUUACCAAAAACUAAACUUACUCAUUCUAGACCUAUUAUAAGCCACCAUCGAAGGAGCAUACCUUACCAACUGAGUAAAAUUAUGUGAGUAUUCCUUCACACUCAUAUUACCCUACUUUAAAUUACUAAACUCUAGAACCUUAGCUUCUCUCAACUCUAAAGGAAAGAACCUAUUUGAAAAGGCUAUGGAAAAUAAAGAGGUGUUCAUUUGGGUGAAGUUCUGAAUCCUAGAUAUAGUUGUAUUUUCCACUGGGUUAGCCUAGAAAAUAGCCUAUUGGUUGUUCUAAGUAGCUAUUGAGUAAGCUAAGGUAGUGAAUACAGCUCUGAACUCAACAUGAGAGACGUGCUCAUUCAGGGGAUCUUUUUGAAUAAGCGAAAGUGUGGGAUGAUUUUUAUUUCUUCUAUUUUCUUUCUAGGAGGCAUGGUCUAUAAACAAAAGGAAGAAUGAUUUAGAAGGAGAGUUUUAAAUAUAUCUUAUGCUCAUUCACAUGACACGAAUACUAAAAGAAGGAAAAUUUUUCAUAAAAUAUCUUAAAGCCUUUUGUCUAUAAGUGUGGAGCGCUUCACGCCCAUGCAUAAGACUCUACUCAAUGCGUCUUUCAGACUCCCUAGGAAAUUGUAAAACCUUAGGCUAUGAUACCAAGUUUUGUCAUGACUUGAGGCUACCCCUAGUCGCGACAGUGGUGCUUAUAGUCACAAGUGACCAUAAGCUAACCCAUGAGCUGGUACUUGCUGUGAGAACUGAAUAAACUGGCAAUAAAAUAUGUACACAAAAAGUAAGCUAAUAAGUCCAAAGAUCAAUCUAAAUACUAAAAGUUUGAUUCAAUCACAAGUCAGUAAAUGUCUGAUAACAAUACUAAAAAUGCAACUGAUAAUACUGAUAAACUGAUUAGUUGUCUAUGUAACUGUUUGAAUGUUUGAAAGUCUCUAAACUGACUGAGGAGUUGAUGGGACAGGACCCAACUAAUUCAAACUGACUAACUUAAAAGAAAUGCAGAAAUAACAGAAUAAAAAAAUAGGUCCUCGAUAGAUGAGGACUCACCACUGCUGCUACUGCUGAAGCGCUGGACUGUCUAAGUAUGGUAGGGAAACUUAGUGUCCGAACCUAUGAUAUAAGACAUCAUAGCGCAAAGAAGAGUAUGCGAUUAGUAUUUUGAAUAUACUGGUAUAUGAGAUGAUGUUAAGAUGAUAUACAUGGGUUAAUGUACACAUGAAAUAUGGAACAACUUAAUGAAAUGAUAUAACAGAACAUGAAUGCAUGACAACUGAAAUAUCUGAGAAUACAAGAACAAGUAUAUAUAUAUUUUUCUAAAAUAAUCUAUAAGAUGAAUUACUGAAAUUUGAUAACUAAAUAACUGGUAAUAUUUAUGCUUUGGUCAAGUAAACCUAAACUGAAUUAUGUUCUAAAUACUGAACUGAGACCGUGGGAGGUAUUAUCUAACCAAAAUACCCUAAUCUGAGCUAAUCGGGGUCCAACUUGUAACCCCAGUUGGAAGGGUGUCAGUACCGUGCCAUAGGUACUAAUAUAUGGCUAUAUGGAUCCACUCAACUAGUAUCCCAAAAGACUGGAGAGUCAGUCCUAAAUUGGCGGGUUACCCCUAAGAGAAUGUCAGUCCUAAACUGACGGGUGACAUCUCAGAGAAUGUCAGUCCUAAACUAGCAGGUUACAUCUCAUAAUCCUAUAUUGGCUAUGUAGUUCUAGAACUUAGGGACUGUUUCUAAUGACCCAGUCCUAGCUAGUGGGUAAUCCCCCAUCCCUAGGUUUGCUCAGUGCUAAAUCCUACUCUCAACUGAACUAACAUUGAUUAUUGGACUGAACUAAUCUUAAUCAAACAAACAACCGAUCAUAAUAACUGACUGAAUAAUAAUGCUCAUGGUAUAUCUAAAAUUAUUCUAAAGAUAUUGAAAUUAUGUAAACAACUAGGUAUCGGGUGUUCAUAACCCACCAGGAAUGAAUGGAAAUAAGAAUAAGUACACAUAAAAGCUUUGAAACCAUAGUAGGGAAUCAUUGUUCAAAAUCCAACACUUAGGCAUUUCAUCAAACAGUUGAGAGUCAUGAGUUUAAACAUGGGAAUGGGUAAAUCACUUUAUAAUAACAUAGUUACAAUACUAAAUCCAUGAAUUAAGUUUUUAAAUGACAAGAGUUCAAUAUUCAAAAUAUGUAAUGGCUCAUUGCAUCGAAAACACGUGUAAUCAUAACUUGAAAUAAAUUAUCAAGAUGUUCAUGGGAAUAAUUCAACUUAAUCAUGUAAAAAUCAUAAUUUAAAACAUAAAAAGGUAUUCUUGGAUGUCAUGGGUGAAAAUGGCCCAUGGAUGAACAUCACACAUACCUUAAACCCUUAAGCUUGAAAGAGAAACACCAAUCUUGCUGUUUUCUUGAAUGUCCUUGGAUUAGGGAACUUGAAUCCUUGUUUUUUUGGAGAGAAACUAAUGGAAUGUGAUUAUCCUAGGGGAGAAGAGGGUUUUUUUUUGUGAGAAAAUUAGAGAAGAUGGAUAAAUAAUGCCCUAACUGGUGUUAUAGUUUGUGAUUUAAAGAAUUGGGUUAUGGGUAAAAGACAUAAUUACCCCUCAGGAAAUUAAAUUUAUAAUUGAAGUGCGUUUUACAAACUCACAAUGGUGUGGUGUACCUGCCAUCGCUAUAAGCAUCGCUACGCGGCCCUAUCGCGAUGAACUACUGGAAUU